UUUUCUCAGUUUGUCUUGAUGUACUUUUGUCUACUUUUUUCUGCAUGUUUCACCCUCCAAUAACUCAUUAAGGACAAUUAGCUUGGAUCAGAGGUUAGUUUCAGUUUGUUUAGUUGCAGUAGUAGUGGCAUGAUAGACAAGAGCACGAUUUUCUUAGUACAACUGUAGAGUAUUUGAAUUUGCUUCAAUUCAUCUACCAUUGUGGCCCUUAACAAUGCCAUUAUCUUAUUCGAUCCUAGUUAUUAUUCUCCUUUUGCUGAUGCUCUGUUUCUGUGUUUUUUCUUCUCUAUAUUCUGCAUUAGUGCUCUUUUAGUUUCUGCCGUAUUGUCACGGACAAACUUCUAAACAAGGUGUUUGAUGUAAUGCUUAUGUAUGUCCGUGUCGUUUGACAUAUUCAUACCUUGUACAGAAUGUAAAGGGGCAGCCGAAGGCUUAUAAGUCCCAUUUUAGUUGGGUUGGUGGCCUCUUUAGGCUUGUAAAUAAAGGUUGUGUCAUGUGGACACGUGCGAGAGCUUUUCGGUCUAUAAUGGAUCAUUUUACCCUUUGUUGUGCCACUGUUCAGAGCUUGUAAAGUCUGUUUGUAAUUUGCUUUGUCUAUGAAGUGUUUUUCGGACAUGUUUGCUUGUGGAUCCCGUUUGAGGCGUUCUCUUUAACCCGUUCUCUCUUUUGUUGGUCCUAAGGGACAAUGGGAGGCUUCGGGGAGGCUGACCUUUGCGGACGGACGCGCAAGGGUGCCGCACGACUUAGGCAAAACCAGCUAAGUCCGUGUCAUAUGGUAUCAGAGCGGGACAAGCACUCAUAGAAACACUUGACAUGCAAACGUGGGGGACCUAGCGGGGCUGCGUUGAGGGCAGUCAGCAACGCGCGACCGUUUGAGGGAAAACGGGCAUGGAGAUGUAGGGAAAAGAGUCGCUCAGAGGAGCGGGCAUCUAACAUUAGCAUUCAGAGGAAUGGCCAACCCUUCGCGCAAGAGGCACCACGAGAACAGGCAAGCUUGGAAGAAUGCGGAGCGCACAAAGGUUGGGAUGGCUGUGUUUGAGCUACGGCUCAACGUUGACAACUUUACUUGAUGGUGCUCAAGGCAAGCGAGGCGCUUGGCAAAGGACGAGACCAUGCAAAGUUGAAUGAGUUGCUCAGCGACCGAAAGAGUUGUGCAAAACUCACAGAGGUGAGGGGAAUUGCUAACUCGAAGAAUUUGGUACUCAUGCAUGGGCUUGUAUGCGAACGAUGGAAUGUUCGUGGCCAUCCCAAGGCGACCGAGACUCGGCGCCAUGGAGCAUUGAAACUUUCUCUUCAGCAUGUGACGGAUACGUCCGUAGGAGGCUGAAGUGUGCAAUGAGUUCAGCAUGUUGCUAGGCCUUGAGGGGCGCAGUGGGGGCUGUAUUGACGGGGAGGUNNNNNNNNNNNNNNNNNNNNUUGAUGGACUGAGCAAGCGGCGAGGAGUUGUCGCAUGAUCUCGCUUGAGAGAAUGCAUUGGUGGAUGCAUUGCGAGAUCAAGUGGGGGAGCAAUCCAAAGCAACUCAAAUGGAGGCACACUUGGAGUCGAUAUGGAGAUCGGACUCAAGGGAGGGCUGACCCGUGGAAUGGUGGGCGCGAGGGCCACCAUCGACUCAAUGCAAAAACGAGGAGCGGAGCAACUUGGGUGUAACUUGGCGAAGUACCCAAGCCGCAUGAAGGGAGCCAGCAUAGAAGUUGGAACAUGGAGCAGAGGCACAGUGCUUUCCCUAGACAGAGGUCAAGGACAUGAACUCUUGCAGAGACAGGAGUAGAAUCAUGCUGUUCCAUGGGUCCUUCAUUCUGACAGAGCGGACUCAUCCUGCAUGGUGCCAAAGACGAAGGGAGCUUCGGGGCACAUGCACCUUAUCUCGGAGGAGCAUUUGAUGGAGGAACUAAGGCGACUCAAUUUGCGAAGGCGAAGUUGGGUUCAGAAGGCCUUAGCACGGGGCAAGAGGACGCGGAGGCGGGUACUCUUGAAGAAUAUGCCACAGUGUUGCCAUUCAAGUUGCCAUGAGGGAAGCGGUGCGCAGCGGAGUUUGUGCUGGUUGGGGCAGAGGCCCAGGAUCCAGACAAUGGUGCACUAAUUACAGCGAAGUCGGGGGACUUCGGGAGCUACUAGGCGACGGACUGUCCUAGAGUGGUGCUUCAUCUAGGUGUGACCCAAGAGUGGGUGGAUGAAGGUCGAUUGCCAAAGGAGCGAACAAAAUCGAAGGUGGAGGAGACCCUGCGAUGUAUUGGCAGAGGCCACACAUGGAGGGUUCACAAUUCGAGUUUAUUCCACAAGGAUCAGAAUGCAAUGGAGAUGUCACCAGGAGGCGACAUGGUGCAGCGGAUCGUGGUGGAACAGUUCGUGGCAAUGCGACACACACGACACAGUCCCGGGAGGGACUAGAUCAUAUGGAGGUAUGAUCGGGAGCUACUGGGAGCUCCACUUCGGUGAACAACACGACGGCAAGAAGGGCUAUGGAUUCAAGGAGUGAAGGCCAUGGUACUGCAGAGGCGGGUCUUCCGUGCGUGCAUCGAAUUUUGCUUCGGAUGAAAGCCUUGGUCAUCAGCAUAUGGGGGCUGGGUUCCACCAAGGGAAAAGUUCGAAUGCAAGUACCAGUGAGUUCCAUGGGAGGAACUUGAUCAUGCAGAGGUAUGAUCGAAGCAGCUGGAGAGUUGGACUGCUCCAGAGCUCAUAUUCGCUUAAGGGAGCCCGACAAGUCAGAGGACAAGGUCGAGUAAGCGAACGUUGCUACCAAGGAAGCUAAGGAGAACAGAAUCGGUGCAAACUCUACAACGUGAUGGCAGAGGCCAUGCAUGGGAGUUGCAGUCUGUCUUUCCAUCGACAAAACGGACUGCUUGGAAAACACAGAGGUGUUGAAGCAGGGGGUCGAAAGGGGCGAGGAAGCGACGACGAGUCCAGAGGGACUUAGCUACCCAAAAUCAAGCAUCAGUUAGAAUGGAGGUGGACUCAGAGGAGUGUCACAGAGACAUAUCUACUGAUUGUGAAGAAAAGGGAUUUAGAGGCGAGGCGACGGAUAGUAGCGCCAUGGGCAUGGCAGCGCCAUGGUACCGCAGAGGCCGGACUUUCGUGAAAGUCAUUGAUCCCUUGCUCUCACGGAGGGAGAGCGCUUGGUCGUGAAAGGGGCCGAGGAGGUGGAGCAUGCAGAGGCAAUCUCCAAGUAUCGAGACAAGGCUGAAGGGCAGAGGCCAAGAAACUUCGUAAGACCGGUGUCAACAAGUUUCUCAUCAAGAUAGCCGUAAGUGAAGGGCUUCGGGUCAUGCAAGAGUGCACGACCAAGGAACGAAGCAAGCAGUACGCGGUGCUGUACCUUUGCUACUCAGUGUAGUAGGCGGCAGGGUUGAUGGAGAANNNNNNNNNNNNNNNNNNNNNNNNNNNNNNNNNNNNNNNNNNNNNNNNNNNNNNNNNNNNNNNNNNNNNNNNNNNNNNNNNNNNNNNNNNNNNNNNNNNNNNNNNNNNNNNNNNNNNNNNNNNNNNNNNNNNNNNNNNNNNNNNNNNNNNNNNNNNNNNNNNNNNNNNNNNNNNNNNNNNNNNNNNNNNNNNNNNNNNNNNNNNNNNNNNNNNNNNNNNNNNNNNNNNNNNNNNNNNNNNNNNNNNNNNNNNNNNNNNNNNNNNNNNNNNNNNNNNNNNNNNNNNNNNNNNNNNNNNNNNNNNNNNNNNNNNNNNNNNNNNNNNNNNNNNNNNNNNNNNNNNNNNNNNNNNNNNNNNGACCAGUAACCAGCUCGAUGCAUGAAGUACAACCUCGAGGAGGCGGGCGAAGUCAAGUAACCUUUGCCUUCUCAACUCUUAAGAGAAUGGGCGAAAUCGAGUACCCCAGUUCUCUUAUCUAUCUAGCAGAGGAGCUCUGCACAAGAUCAAAGACCCUUCGAAGAUAAUGGAAGACAAUAGUUGUCAAAUCCUCACCAACGGUGAUCAGUGCUACUGAGAGUAGAUUGUCCGCCUCAUUUCCCAACGAAAUGCCAAUCGAAAGCGGAAGUGAUGCGAACCUACUUAGAUGUGACAACUAACUGAAAGAAGAGUCAAUGAGCAUAUUUUGUGGAGGAAGGACCCAAAACUUCAGAAGUUUGCGAGGCGAUGCUCGUUAAAGCUCCAACAAGCAUCCACCCAGUUCAAGCAGCAUGUGGAAGUUUUGAGAGACUGGCGCAGUAAGGAUGGUCUUUUUCCUUCAUUUGGGGGAUCCGUAAGAAUCAACAAUGAUCAACACAACUCAGCCAACCCCACACCAGAGUCAAGAGUCAUUGGUGAGUUGAAGCAGCAUGGCGGAUCAAAGGUUCGACUACUCAGAAACAGCAGCGGAGAGCAGCUGGGAGCCAGGAGGCGCAUUGCAGCUAGAGCAGAAGAUUGAAGACUCAGCAAAGGUGAAGAGUUACAGUGUUCACAAAGGCUUCGACGAGGACGUCGAAGGGAUAAGUGGGGGAGAAUGUCACGGACAAACUUCUAAACAAGGUGUUUGAUGUAAUGCUUAUGUAUGUCCGUGUCGUUUGGCAUGUUCAUGCCUUGUACAGAAUGUAAAGGGGCAGCCGAAGGCUUAUAAGUCCCAUUUUAGUUGGGUUGGUGGCCUCUUUAGGCUUGUAAAUAAAGGUUGUGUCAUGUGGACACGUGCGAGAGCUUUUCGGUCUGUAAUGGACCAUUUUACCCUUUGUUGUGCCACUGUUCAGAGCUUGUAAAGUCUGUUUGUAAUUUGCUUUGUCUAUGAAGUGUUUUUCGGACAUGUUUGCUUGUGGAUCCCGUUUGAGGCGUUCUCUUUAACCCGUUCUCUCUUUUGUUGGUCCUAAGGGACAAUGGGAGGCUUCGGGGAGGCUGACCUUUGCGGACGGACGCGCAAGGGUGCCGCACGACUUAGGCAAAACCAGCUAAGUCCGUGUCAGUAUGCCACAGUGGCACAUCGAGCGUGUCAUCAAUAAUAACUUAGGUCAUCUUUCUUUUACCCUUUUCACUUAAAUAUUAAUUACAUUCUCUUAUGCUCACCAAUACCCGGAGCAGCAAAUUAGUUUCUCAAGAAAUUCAUGUUCUCUAUCUUGGAACUUCUGCUGGUGGUGUCCCUUUACAUCAUGGUUAACAUAAUUAAGAGAUCUUCCGACACUGAGACUCCUUUGACCCUCGUAGCUUCAUUCCAAGAUUACAUCAGUUUUGAAGAUGUCAUUGAGGGGUCUGUACAAUGGAUAAUAGGUGAGGCCAUAAGCAGGUAGAUAUGUGACUGGGCAUGUUUUAAGUGAUAUAAUCUAUUUAUUUUAAUCUGAGUAGUAAAAUUGAAAUAAAAAUGCACAUAUACACUUAUCUAAUUGCCUAUAUAAUUUUACAAUAAUGAUAUUUAAUUAGACAAGAGGUGCACAAACUACCGGCUUAGAGGCUGAAUAAGAUGAACUAGAAAGUUUCAAGGCAUACAUAGUUGUAGAGCUUACUUUAUGCACACAACAUAAAUUUUUUUUUUUUGUGUGUGUGUAUAUAUAUAUAUACAAAGAGAGAGAGAGAGAGAGAGAGAGAGAGAGAGAGAGAGAGAGAGAGAGAGAGAGGGUUAUGUGGAUAUAAAGUUGAUAGAUGAGUCACAGAAUAGCCCCUCAAAAGCACAUUUUUGUGGGCUUAAUGUUGCUGUUAUGUAUUUUCAUCUUUAUUAUGGCCCUUUAUUCCAUGUUCAUGAUGGACCUGUGAUGUUGUCUUUGGCUAGUGGGAUAUUAGGUGUUUCCCUCCCGGAGGCAUGGAAGAGACUUGAGUCGUGCUUUGGUCGAUGACUUGUACUGGGUUUGACCUCUGCAGAGUAGCUCUCAUUGCUGAACUCACUACUUCAUAAGAGGCAGGAAUGGGGUAAAAACCAUGCCAUCUCAAUGCAAAUCCUGUUUUUCUUCCCUCCUGAUUUUUCUUCGGCCGUUGCUUGCUCCAGUUGGUCCUCACUCCAUGUACAAUUUGACCAUAAUUUCCCUGAACCAUCAACUAGUUUCUCAUGCUUCUGCCUUUAUUUUUUCUCAUGUAGGUUCAGUCUAGUAAAACCGUGAUGGUUCCUUCUGUCAUUCUCUUCCCCCACCAGGAAGCUAUGUAUAUGGUGCAUAUUUAAGUUUUAAUGGUGAAUGCUGUGUAUAACAAGUAAGAAGAUGCAGGGGGGAAAAGCUCCAAUAUCAUUUAAUGAUUUCUGUAACCUAAUAAAACAUCAAUGUUUGCUGAGAUGUUCACAGUUUAUAUGUAUUGUUUUUAGAUUCGAAUUCACCGUUAUCUGCUCCAUAAUUUGUCGACCCUGAAAUCACGUAACAUAUGUUCAGUCAUUCACGCAAGAAACCAAGAAAUCACGGGCAUGCGUGUCUGCAUGAACAAACAUGCAUGUAAAACGCCGUUGCACGAAGCAACGUGUUCAAGACCUCAAUGUCCAUCUAUAAAAUAGGGAAUUUUCCACUGCUGAUGUAUCUGAUUGUGGUAUUUUUUUUCCCAAAAAAAUAAAAUUAAAUUUCUGUAAGAAGUACUGUUACAACCACGACCAGACUCAUCAGACUGCAACGAUGCAUACAGAUCAAGUGAUCAAUUGUCUGUUCACGUUUGAUCUGAUCUAAAUGAUUUUGGAUGGAUGAUCAAUCUGUUUAUUCUUGAUCCCCCUCCCAGGAUAUCUUGAUACGAAAGAUUGAUCGUCGCCGUUCAUUUGAGGUGACGGUGGACCGCGACCGACAAUAACAUCGUGUACACGAUCUGCGCCGUUCGUUAUUCAUAGCUAUGAUGGGAGGCGUGGUUUUUUCGUCAAUAAAUAAAAAGAGCUCUUGAUCUCAAUUUCUCGCGUCGAUCGACACUGGUAAAAUCCCCAUCGGCUCGUGCCGGCGCUCGACUCUUUGUUCGUCUGGAUUCCGGCGAGAAGCGAUGAUCUCUCAGUUCUUCGUGCUGUCGCAGCGAGGCGACAACAUCGUCUUCCGCGACUGUAAUCUCUCAUUGUUAUUCUCCUCUUCUGUUUCUUGAUUCACCCGCGAUUUCAACGCUGACCCGCCUUUUUCGUUCGAUCGAAACCCUAAAUUGAGCUCGUCGCCACGGCAUUGAGACCCGUGGACGGCCGUGUCGUCUGAUUGAAAUCCUGAUUCGAUGUCUCGGUUAUUCGCGCUGUCGUAGCCAGGCGACAACACCAAUUUCAUUUCUUGAUUCACUCGCGAUUUCAACGCUGACCCAGCCGUUUCGUUCGAUCGACACCACGCCCUAUAUUUAGUUCCACACUAGAGCAUUGAGAUCUGUGGAUGGCUGUGUCGUACGAUUGAAACCUUAAUUUUGGUUCGUUGCCAGGGGAUUGAGAUCUGGAGAUCCUGCAGAUCUAGGGCUUGCGGUCCAUAAUUCCUUGGACCUAGGCUCGGCCGGAUCCGUCUCCCCGGUGCAUAUUUGCACUAUUUUUCUUAUGGAAUUAUCUGGAGCCAUGGUGUUGAGAUUAUGGUUCUUAAUGUUUACACCAAAUCUCCAUUUUGGUCAUAUGCUCGUGUCCUUUUAAUCUUCCUAGUUAUAAGAAUUUCGUGAAUAGUUCAUUAUAUUUCUAAACGUAUCUGUUUUAUUGAAUACCCUACUCGUAAUCCUUUCUGGCUCUGACUGUUCAUUUAAAGCCUGAGUUAUAUUAAGGAAACCGUGGUGUCUACUUGAUGGAAUAGUGAAAUCACCACAGGAGUUCGUAUUUUUGGACUUACACGUAUAUUUUCUUCGUUCAUCUACUUGAAUUUGCUCCUAAUUGACAAACUGCUUUACUGGUAGUUAAAAUUAAGAUUAACCUUGUAAGUGGGAGGUUUGGGGAUAACCAAUUGAAGUAGGCGAAACGUGGAAGUUUGUGUAUUUUGUGCAGCCAAAAUUGUUCAGUUUGAAACAAUGUGGUUAUUCAGUACCAACUCGGUUAUAUGGGUUGCAGCCUAAAGAUAGAUUCCAUUAGUAUUAAAAAGGUUAUGUAAACCUGGUUUUUGGUCAUUUGUUUCCAAAUAUUGUUUGAUGUUUAUAGUUAUAAAGCAGAAGGUACUGAUAAAGGAGCUUGACAUAAUUUAUUUAUAUUGUCUAGAACUCUAGAUAACUAUAGAUUUGUAGAUCACAUUCAAGCUUCAUUAGAUUCCUGAUACUUCAAUUUGCUUUGUUCGUCUUGCUUUGUUUACUUAAGAUUUUCUAGGUUGAUUUUUAUUCUUAUGAAAAUAUGCUGUUAGACAUGUUAGGUAGGUACAUCUUCAAAUUAGUACCAUAUGGUCAUAUACUCAGCUCCUUUUAGAGAUGAGCUUUACAAGUGUAUCAUUUCAGUUAUAACUUAUAAGAGAAUCUGUAAUCUGCCAAAAGUAGAAGAACGUUGAAAUUCAGAUCAAUGAUGCCAUUAGAAUCGGUCAUCCAGGGUGCUUCUAUUAGUUCAAUUUUGAGGGCUCUGAGCUCAUACCAUGGGAAUAUGCUAUUUCCCCAUAAAUAUUAAGAUAGCUAAACUACUCUUACCAAUUGUUAGUUGAAUCAGUUGAUAGUACAGCCUUUUAUACUAAGUGCCCUGACAAUUAUUUUUCCAGUUCCUCUUUAUGUUUGUAAUGCUUAAUAAGAUUAAGCUUUUUUUUACUGAGCUUUGAAUAGUGGAUUUAUGUUCAAGUUUCUAGUGGGUAGGCUGUCUCAUUCGUUUCCAGUUAAAAAUAUUGAGUUUAUUUUUCCCUGAUUAAUUGGUCUAGAUCGUGGUGAAGUGCCAAAAGGAAGUGCUGAAAUAUUCUUCCGCAAAGUAAAGUUCUGGAAAGAGGAUGAAGAAGAGGAGGCGCCUCCUGUCUUUGUAGGUAUUUGCAUAUGCAAAGCUAGUGUAGCAUCAUUUGUCUUUCUAAAUAUCGCGAAGACAUAAAUUAGCAUUCAGGAUCAAUCCAAUUCUUGUAUCAACAUACUUAAAACUAUCUUGAGGAUCUCCACAUGUAUAGAUAUCUUAAGUCUGUUCUUUAAAAUGUAUUUUUUUAGUUAGCUAUUAGUGGGAACCUUAUCUAAUUCUGUAGCAGCCUUUUUCUCUCCUCUCAAGUCUUAGAUGAUGAAAAUCAGUUGCUGUUACAUCCAUGCCCAUUAUCUUGUUCAAACAACUAAACAAAAUUGUGCAUUAUAUCUCUGAUAUGAACUUUUAAAUUUUUGGUGUAAUUGCUGUUGUCAUUUUCAAGAUUCUUUUAACUUUGCUUUUCAUGCUAUUGAAAUAGAUGUGGCUUUUAUUAGUACUGUUGAAAAUCAAAUAGUUGGCUGGAUCCUGAUAGUUGGUACAGAUACGAUCAAUGAUACCAUGAUUUGUUCCACUUGAAUUGUAGUAACAAGGAUAAUUUUUUUUCUGAAUAGUUUAAAGAGGCAAGUGGCCUCAUCGUCUUAAGGCUAAUAGUAGGUAGAAAAUUCUUUUGGACCUGCUCCUUUACAUUCUUUGAGAACUAUGAUGGAUUGAACCAACUAUUCUAUUGAAAAUAUAGAGAUUAUCAUAGAUAGACAUGUAUCUCUUCCAAGGAAGAUGCUCCCAAGUUUCAACCACUUGUUGCUCUAUUGACCAAAAUUGCUUGCAUGCUAUCAUUAUAAAUAUUUGCAAAGGCAUAUGCAUAAACUAUUAAAACAAGAAAAGAAGGAAAAUUUUAGUCUGAACUCUGAAGCAUGCAUAAGAAAAUGGUAAAAUGCUGAUCUGUGGUCCAUACUGCAUACCACGGAAAAUGGUAAAUUGGUAAAAUGCUGAUCUGUCCUGUUAAUGAGGCAAUUGGGAUAUAACACAUCUUGGAUGAUAAAUUUUUUGAUGGUCAAAUUUAACAGAGAUGGAAGGUUUAUCAUAGACUGGUUUCUCAUAGACUAAUAAUGACACAUGCCGAUCACAUAUAGAAGAGACUGGUCAUAGUACUUAUAUAGUGAUUAUAUUCUCCUAAUAUAUAACUGGACUCAUCUGAAGCACUGAAGCACAUCUUGACAUGGUCGUUGUUCCAGCUAUAGCAUUGUCUUUGAAAGAUCUUAUUGUUGGAGUUAGUAAGUUAUGAACAUUAGUGCUUUGUGAGUAUGCCAAUGUCAGUGACAUUAGCUGCUCAAGCUCUGAGUUUGUUGCUGACAAGGUGGAGUGUCUAGCUAAAUUGUUGUUGCACAAGAGGAGGUUUAUUUAUCUAUCUACAUGAAAGAUUUUGGAAAAGUACCAUACAGUUAUAUCUUCUGGUUGGGGAUUAAAUGGUAUAGUGCUUCUUUUUGUCUUUUCCUUUUAGGCCAAAUGAUUAAUCUCCUUUACUUAAGUCACAAAAAUUAAACAUUUGACCCCUUAGAAAAGAAUAUUAGAUGAAGCUUAUACUGUUUUACUGGGCUACUGUUAGGCCAUUUUCUUCAACUUGAUUUGCUGUCAAGCAAUCACUGUUGUCUUUGAUGGUGCAAUCAAAAUCAAAUUUUUAUUCCAUUAGACAAUAUCUUUGAUAGAUUUUGCUAAAUCUAUUUUCUGGUAUCAUAUGAGAAAUUUGUGUUGAUGCAUCUACCAGUCACUAAGCCUUCUUGUUUCUUUUGUUUUUUUUUUCUGACCACAGAAUGUGGAUGGUGUCAACUACAUUCAUGUGAAGGUUGCUGGGUUGUUCUUUGUGGCAACGACAAGGGUUAAUAUUUCACCAUCUCUUGUUCUGGAGCUCUUGCAGAGAAUUGCACGUGUCAUAAAAGAUUAUCUUGGUGUUCUUAAUGAAGACUCGUUACGAAAAAAUUUCGUGCUUGUUUAUGAAUUACUUGAUGAAGUUAUUGUAAGUGUUUGUUUACUAUGUUACAAAUAGUCAAAUGUUUCUUUAUUUACUUCAUGAUUUAUCAGGGCACAAUUUACUGCUAUGGUACAACUAUUCUUUAUCAUGUUAUGGUUAUAUAUCUUGUCCGUGUUAAUUGGACUGAAGCUUUUUACAGUUGAUGAUAUCUGUUCCAUUUGUAAUCCUAUUUUUAGGACUUUGGUUAUCCACAAACAACCUCUACAGAGGUUUUGAAGUCAUAUAUAUUCAAUGAACCGAUUGAGGUUGAUGUUGCACGUUUGCCUCCUCUUGGUCCUGCAUCGAUGUUUAUGGUACCAUUUAUUUAUCUUUACAUUAUUCACUGCAUCUGGAGAAUCUCUUGUAUUCCUGGAUUCUGUUCUGUUUUUAGAAUACAUUUCUUCGUCUACUUGGUUUGUGUUUCAGACUUUUAGUUAACUGUUAGUAUUUGCAUGCUUGCAGCAAGGCACUAAAAGGAUGCCUGGUACAGCUGUUACCAAAUCUGUUGUAUCUACAGAACCUGGUGGUAGGAAGAGGGAGGAAAUAUUUGUUGACAUUAUUGAAAAAAUAAGUGUGACAUUCAGCUCUAGUGUGAGUAAAUUUGUCUUUUGUCCAGUAACAUUUAGUGGCUGCUGUCAGAACUUAUUUGUGUUUAGUAGAUUAUCACUCAUGCCCAUGUAGACCUGUUCAUGUGACAAAAUAUAUACAUUGUACAGUGUGUUUUUACUUAUCCAUAUUAAAUAAAUUGAAGCCAGAUUUUGAUGGUUAAAUUAGAUAAGUUCUAUCAAAUUCAUGUUUUGCUGCAGUACCAUAAGAAACUUCUCGUUUAGUUGUAUUCUGCUGAUUUGCCUGACAUAGAUGGUUAUCUUCCUUGUCUGCUUAUGGUUUUAUAGCAAGCUAAAUCGAGCAUUAUUAUCAAAGUUUGUGCAGUUACGAAUUCACAUAACUGUCAUCCAAAUUCAGUUUAUAAUCCCUUUUAAUGUGAAAGCUCUGUCCUAAUGGUGAUGAUUUGAUUUUGUCCUAAUGUUAUACCAUUUUGACAAUAGAUAUUGUAAUGGAACAGGGUUAUAUACUCACAUCAGAGAUCGAUGGCACCAUUCAGAUGAAAAGCUACCUAACUGGAAAUCCAGAAAUUCGUCUCGCGCUCAAUGAGGACUUGAGCAUUGGUAGAGGCAGUGCUUCUGUUUAUGGUAAGAACAAAUAUAGUGUAUUCUAAUUGUAUCACCUCUCCUAGUUGCUGAUUAUGUUGUUGCUUUGUAUUUAUCUGAAUUUUAUGUUUCUAUUACUGUUUCGUAUUACCUUUAUUAUUGUGCAAGUGCAGUCUACAUCCAAAUAGAUAUCUGUCUCUAGAUUUUGAUCUUCUGUAAGUUAAUUUUAGAGUCUUUUGCAUUAUGACUACUAGACACCUCCAUGUCUGUUAAGAUUUAUGGAAAACAGGCUAUUUUGGUCAUCAUACUUGUUAACUAAAGCCAUUGGCUAUAGCUUACGAGCUAUUUCUGAUGAUUGGCUCAGAUUUCUGUUAAAUGUGAUACACAAACUGUAUUGGAACAAAAUGAUUUCAUGAGCCCUACAUCGAUCUUGAUGUGCUACUCCAUAAGUUUUCAUUGGGUUUUCUUAUUUCUUUAAUUGGCAUGUCUAUCUGAGAUAUUCCCAUUCAGUAGGACGUCGGUCACCUCUCCAAAAACAGAAGUGGUCUGUCUACCAAAGUUAGCAAGAUUGUGCACAAAAGUUUUGCUGUUUAUAUUGAUGUGAGGCCAUUGUAGGACUUGGACAGCUUUGACUAGAUGAAGGGUGUCAUGGCAAAGGGGCAGAAGUUGCCAAGGAAUGCUUUUGCGAUUCAAAAGCAUGUUGACUAAGCUUUUGGAGUCAGCGAAGACUCUAAUACAGGUAGGUUGUUCUUGGUGUGCUGUCUUGAGGCCAUCCAAAAUAGUUACAGACCACCAUUCUGUUGUCCCAUGUGUCUGUGAGAAGGUUGCCGGUCCCUGCAAGAGAAGUAGCAGGGCCAAAGGAGUCACCACAGUAAAGAUUAUAAUGAUCAUCUGAGACGGAAUUCUCAGGGCGGUCAGUGCAUUGUCGCAUAGUUACAUAUGUGGAAUUAAAGACAUAAUUUCAAUUUUCAAGGAUAAAUCAUGUGGUGCUGAAACCCUGAAUUUGAAAAAAAGUGAAAAAGUGGGGAGAACUAUUGAUGAAAUAGUGCAUAAAUAGUUCUAAGUAAUUUAUAUGCUUUUGUUGUUACUUAAAAGUAAGAGUUGGGGAGAAUUAAUGGACAAAUUGUUGGGAAACAAAGUAUCACUAAGACAGGCAAAAAUGCAUAACGAGCUUUGCAUCCGUACUGCAGAUUGCAGAAUUUAUUCGACUUAUUCAUAAAUGAUAGAUUUUUGUACUUUAUGAAUUUAUUCUUAUAUUAAUCUUGUUCUAUUUGGUUUUAGAAAAAUUAUCUAGAGAAUUAUUUGGCUCACUUACAUGGGAAGAACUGUGUAUCUUUUAUAGUUCAGUAAACUUUGUUACUGUAGUUUAAAGUCAUGUAUUGUGAACUUGUAAUAUGUAAGUUCUACAAGAUUGAUUAUGUUUCAGAUUAUAGAAGUUCAUCAGGAGGGGCUGUAAUACUCGAUGAUUGUAACUUCCAUGAAUCAGUUCGCCUAGACAGCUUUGAUGUCGACAGAACUUUGACAUUGGUGCGUGUAUUGCUUUGUGUAUACAUAUUCAAAUGCUAAUAAAAACCUAUACUUGUCAAUUAGAACAUAUAUUGCAAAAGCAAUAUCAUGGUACUUAUUGUUCUUUUUGAUGAUAGAUACCUCCAGAUGGAGAAUUUGCUGUAAUGAACUACCGCAUGACUCAGGAGUUCAAGCCUCCUUUCCGUGUCAAUGCAUUGAUUGAAGAAGCAGGACAACUAAAGGUAUGGUCAUGCUUAUCAGGAUCUUUUAACUAUAACAUGAUGCUUCCUUAAUCCUUAGAGAUGUUGUCUCUGAAUUCUGUUUACGAUCAGCAAUAUCAGACAAUAUAUAUUCUUAUGCUUAACAGGCUGAGGUUAUUAUAAAAGUACGUGCUGAUUUCUCGGCAAGUGUUACUGCUAACACAAUCACAAUUCAAAUGCCAGUGCCAACUCAUACAGCAAGGUGGUUUUGUUCCUUGACUUUACAUCUCUUGUUCACUUCUCACUGUUAUGUUUCCUACAGUCAACUCACUGGUAACCGUUUGUAGGAAUCUAUAACUUCAUCCAUUUGAACUAUGUAAUUUCAUUAUUGCUAUCAUUUGUAUUGACAAUUAAUCAUUGCUAAUCUAGGAUAUCCGCUUCUUCAUUCACGGUUAUCAUAUGUGAACUAUUCUGGAUUUUUUGGAUUCUUCUGCUGAUGCUCUCCACCUUUGUGAUUACCGUUGCAAUUUUUUUCCAGGGUCACAUGUGCUCACUCAUGCAUUAAUCAUGGUUUUAAAUAGGUAAUUAGAUAUUUUAAAAACAUGUAAAGGCUGUGAUUGUUAUGAAUGUAUCUAACUGACUAAAAGCCAUGUCCGCCAAUUUAUACCUGCAGUUAAAAACUCUCCCUUCUGAAUUGACCAGUAAAAAAAUGGUGUAUUUCAUUUUUUUUCCACUGUACAAGCAUCUUCCAGUUGUGAAGAAUUCUCUUAGUUGAAUUUGUCCUUCAGAAGAUCUAUCACCACUUUAAUAGGAUAAUUUUCUCAAGGUAUGCUGUAUUUAGUGUUGUUUGUCUUUUUUAUCAAUUCGUUAUCAGGAAUCUUCAUCCUUUUAGUUUCUUAUGGUUUGUUUCCUACCAAUCAUGUGUUCAUGCGUUUGGCCCUGGACCUUAUUAUUCUCUUAAAGCACUUCUUGCUAAUUAAAUUGAGUAAUAACAUAAAUGAGUUCUACUGAGGGUUCUGUUUAGGUGAGAUAUUUGAAAGAUAUGUGAACAUUUAAAUUCACUGAACGAUCUAUGCUAUACUGUUGGGUGAUUGAUCAGAUUCAUUGGAUCUGUAACCACAUUCCCUUCUACCGUCUAUUGCAUGUGCUUCACUUGUCUUGCUUGAUGAUGUUCUUUUGAAGUUAUUCCUUCAGUUACUGGUGACCUCUACAAGUAUUUUCUUAUUGUUUCAGUGUAUCUUGUGUAUUCUACUUUAAGAGACAGUCCUCGUCUUUCUUUGACUUUUCGUGUUUCCACUACUAGAUUAAGAUGGCCUAUAUGCAUAAUGUUUUUUUAAUAUUAUUUGUUGAUACUUCUACAAGGUUGGUAAGUAGUUCAUAAAUGCAAUAUCGUUAUUUCUAAAAGACUUAUUCCGUUAAGUUUCUAGAACCUUUCUUUUUGUUGCAUAAAGCAUGGAAAGCUGAUCAUAUCUUAUAUACUAACGAAUGUGUGUCACAAUUCUAAUUAUGAAACCAAUCACAUAUGAAGCAUGACCUUGGUGAAGUCUUCUUUUAUUGAUUUUUUUUCUAAAUGGUAUCAUAAUUUACUGUGUGAUACAAUUGUGGUUCUGAAUAUAUAUUUUCGGUAAUUAAUGGCCAAAAGUAGUGAUGACUGGUAACUGUUGCUGAUAAAGAUAUUGGACAAUGAUGUACAGGGUUAGUUUUGAGUUAGAAUCUGGUGCAGUCGGACAGACGGCUGAUUUUAAGGAAGGAGCUAAAAGACUUGAAUGGUGUCUAAAGAAGGCAGGAUUUUCAUCUAUUUCUUUUUCCUUUUAUUUUUUUUUUCUUUCUUUGUUCAAAUUUUUAACAUAUUAUUAUCAAUAUCUGGGUCUUCAUGGAAAAAUGGUAUGUGUUUUUAGACUAUUCAUGUUCCAAGUAUUAACUAGUCAUAUCUUCCACUAAACCUUGGCCAUAAGAUAAAUAUUUAUAUAUUGUAUUAUAGCUCUUUGAGUUGUCUGUUCACAUUUGGUCUUACAAAUGAAAGUUCUUCAGAUUGUGGGUGGGUCUGAACACACACUGCGUGCAAAGCUCACAUUUUCACAGGAAUCACAUGGUAGUAACAUUUCUGCUUAUUUCUUCAUUGAUAAAAAUUUCUAUCCUGUUUGUUAAAAGUUCUUGUUUUCCAGGAAACAUCGCCAGAGAAGCUGGACCUGUAAACAUGAACUUUACCAUACCAAUGUACAAUGCAUCAAAGUUUCAGGUGAGGCGAUAACUUUUUUUACUUGUUAGCAUGCCCUUUUCAUCCACCAGGUUAGGUUACUUGAAUUAGCUGAGAAAGAGACAUAAAUUCCGAUACUUCUUAGCUGUCAAGUAUCUCAUUGAUGGUUAAUGGAUGCUUAAAAUGGGGGCAAAUAAUUGUCAUUAGAUAUGCAAGAACCGAGUAAUGCUCUUUUUUAUUAAUCUUAAAUGAUUUUUUUGCUGGUUAUUGUGGGUAAUUUGGCUAUUUAGUCUUUCUGGUAGUUCUCAGUUUGGUUUACUAGCAUAUUAUAAUCUUAAGAUGGUGAUAAUGUUGAAGCAUAUUAAUUGUGUAUAUAUGAACAUGGAUCUAUGCUGGAAGCUUGGGGCAAACUCUGAUGUAAUAAAUGUUAUGUGCACAUUUUGGACAUUUGUCAGUAUAUUUGGAAGCAAGUGGACAGUUCAGGUGCUCUGACUUUGUGGCAAAAAUUAUUAUAGUGAAAACUCUAUUGUCUAAUCCAACCCUGAUUCUAUCACCAUUUUAUGUUUGAGGUCGUGGACUUAUAAUUGCUAAAGAUAAAAGGGACCGAAGAUAUCUAUCUGCACAAUUUAGAUUUAAUAGUGGUUUCCCAGUAAGACUUUUUUUUUUUGUCUGUUGCGUCAUUGGGUACAUGGUCUGCUUGGCCAAGACGGGGAAAAAUUUUGUGUUCCAAGAGGAGUGGAAGUGAUUGUUAUGCCUGUAUGGUAAGCGGAAGUAGCAUUUUAGAGAUUUACUAGAAGCGGGCUAUUAAGAAUGUAGUGUCAGUUCAAUGGACAUUACAUUGAUUAUUUAUCAGAAAGGCAAAGGAAUUGGAGCACUUACAGCAUUUCUUAGUGGGUGUAGAUUUAGGUUGACUACAUAGUUCUUUGUUGUUAUGUUUGUGGGUGUAGAUUUAGGUUGACUACAUAGUUCAUUAUUUAUCAGAAAGGCAAAUGAAUUGGAGCACUUACAGCAUUUUAGAGAUUUACUAGAAGCGGGCUAUUAACAACAAUAAGCGAUCAGGGCCCAACUCUUUGGGAUCGGCUGCAACUAACAUGAUUUUGAAUAACUGAUUAACUUUUAAUUCUUGUUUGUGAUUUCAUUAUUUAUAAAAUGUGAGAAUUUCUGUGCUUGUUAAUAGUUUGACCCCUUGGCAAAGUGACUAGAAACAUCUUUGGCAUUGAAUUUACUUACAUAAUAAUUAGGUCACACUGUUCAUAUGACAAGCUUCAACCAAAUGUAUGCUAGAUGUCCAUCUUGGCUGUUUUGCUUGUCCUAGGGAAUUUGUGAAAUUAUUUAUGGACUCUUUUUUGUUUGACUUUGCUCCAUAAUGAUCCGACUGACAAGAAAAGACUUGGAUGGUUUAUCUUUCAAUUCAUUCUAGGAUCAUUCCUUCUAUGCUGAUUUUUCUUAAUUGCUGUGAUUCUGUUCCUUUAAUGUGAUUCAAACAAUCUCAUGAGUGCCACUUCUUGAUUUUGAGCUAAAAGUUAUUAGCAAUAAAGUUCUGAUCCUUGGGUUUCCCUCCUCGUGUCUUUUUUCUUCUUGAGCAGGUAAGAUAUCUACAGAUAGCAAAGAAGUCACCCUCCUACAACCCAUAUCGGUGGGUGAGAUACGUCACACAAUCAAACUCCUAUGUUGCUCGCUUAUGAGAAAAUUCGAAGUUUUUUUCUACUUGUUAUUAUUAAGGUAUUGGAGAUGGAGACUUCGAUGAGUACUUUUUUUGGAGACGAAUAACUAGAGAAUAAAGUUUGUGAAAGAACCGAACUAUUAGCCCCUCCCCAACUUUUGCAGCAUGGUACCUGUUUUUUCUUCUCUUCCAAGUGUUGUUGUAUGUCAGGUUAGAGCGGUCAGGUCAGUAAAUAUGUCAUGACUUGCUCUGUUAACGAGCACUCAUUAGCAAAACUGACAGUGAAUUGUAUGUUUUUUUUUUGGUAAUCUGAAUCCAUCCUAUUUACUUAUUUUAAUUGGGUUUGGCUAAUCAUAAUCAAAAGAAGGGAAAAUAUAUAUAAUUGAGACAAAAAAAAUCAAAUAAAAAGAAAGAACUAGAAAGUUAAAGGAAAUAAUUAAAAAAGGUUGGGAACACAGGUAACGGCUGCGUGAGUGUUACUGCACUAUCUCUACGAAGCAUGAGCACAACAGAUAGGAAAUAUUACUAGGUUUUAUUUACGUCGCCAACAAAUAGGGAACAAAUAAGUUAAUGAUUUUUUUGGUUUUGAACGGAUGCGACAGCGGAUUAAGAAGGGUCGCGAUGGCAAGCAGAGCGGCACAUUGAACGCGAUUGGCGAAGGCUGGUGGGUCAACGAUGAUCUUGACCGCGGGUCCCGUUCCCUAGCCCACCUCUUCCGAGAAACGAGAAAUAGAGGAGAGAGAGAGAGAGAGGAAUAAGAAUCGACGAAGGCCUGUUAGGAACGGGGAGGAGAAAGAAACGUGAAAUGGCGAGGAGACGACAGCGAGAGAUCCCGCCUUGCUCCAAGACGUACGGCUUCCCCAUCUACUGCGCCGCUUGGGUCCCUAUCGACCGGAUCUCAUCCGCCGCCGCCGAGGAAGAGGCCGCCGGGAAGAAGAAGGAAGGAGGAGGCGAGGCUGCAGCCGUGGAGGAGACCGCCGAGAAGAAGGAACAAGGAGGAGGAGGAGGCGAGGUGGCGGUGGCCGAGGAGGAGGCCGCGGAGAAGAAGGAACAGGAAGGAGGCCAGUCGUUCCACACGCUCGAUCCCAAUUGGCUCCUGGUGGCGCUGGGGGGAGGCGGCGGCGAAGGACGGAGCGGGGUUCCCAAUGUCCUCCUGAUUGCCGAGUUCGACUUGAUCUCGCGAUCUCUCUCCGACACGCCGGUAAUAUUCUUUCUUCCCUCAGUUUCAAGAACCCUAUAUAACCCAUCGAUUCCUGAAUCCGAACAUGUUCUUUUCGAAUUUCGUUAUAAUUUUAGCGUCUGAAGUGGUUAUGAGGCGUGGCUUCUUGAUUCUUGAAGUUUUCGUUGCCUGGUGUAGGUUUUCAGGUUGGGAACCGAUGCCGAUGUGCCUUAUAGGAUGGCGGUGCACCCUGGAGGAGACGGCGUUGUCUGCGCGUUUCCAAAGAGUUGCAGGUGUCAGAAACUCUCGUCCUCAUGUCAAUUUAGUGUUACAAUAUCGUUGUCUUGAAACUCUUGUGCUUUUGGUAUUAUACCUUUUGCGCUAAAAAGAUACCAUGAACUUGACACAAGCACUUGGUUAAAAUGUACAAGUUAAUUUGACUCGGCAUUCAUGCCCUCAUAUACAGAUUUGACAUCGAAAUCAUGAGCAAGAUGUAUUUUCAGCUCCCAGUUCCCUAUAUUUUUUACACUUGUUAUUCUCUAAUUUUUGGAGAAGAAUUGGCAUCUAGCUGUCACAAUUCAACCACUUAUUACAAAAGAAUACUUGUAUCACUUGCAAAGACUUUUGCAAUAUGUUUAUUGUAUCUAGCUGUCACAAUUUGAGAGCUAUCCUAUGAUGCCGUGCUUUAAAAUGGAGAACAUGACAUUUAGAGAAACAUUCAAAGAUAUGCAGAUUCUCCUAUUCAGUGUUUUGGGUGUUGUUGCUUUUCUUAGUGAUAUUUAUUUGCUUUUUUACCAUGUAGUGUGCCAGAGAUUUCUGUUUAUGAUGAAUAAGCAUGCUUUGAUCUUUCUUGUGAUCGUGAACAUUUGUUUUUAUCUGCCCCUCUAGAUGGUUUGACUGGGACGUUCCAGAGAGCAAGAAAACCUAUAAACUGGCCUUGAAAUCUUCUGCAAAGAUAUUGACACCAUUAGAAGAUGUUGGGCUGCAGUUAGCAUUGGCCUUUGAUGCUGAAGGUUCUAUACUUGCAACUGGUGGUGAGGUAGGUAAUUUCUUUCUGGUUGUUUCAGUUAGGAUAAUUUGUUUACCAGUGAUGCUCAUCAUUACCAGUGAACUGCAUAAGAAGAGAACAUAAAAGGUUGUGAUAUUGUAGUAGUUAUCAUUUGGAUGUUUCAUACUGCAGUAUGUUUUUGCUCAAUAAUUAAGUGUUGACAUCUAUUUUAGUGGACACUGCUUUCUUAUACCAUCCGAGCAUUCUAUAUAAGUUGCAUGACAGUUGAGAUUUCAUGUUCCAUCAAUGAAAUAUCCCUGAAAAAAGACGAUUAAAAUUUCAUGUAACUUGUUUAAAGUUUUAUGGUGUAGCCCCCACAAUACAUGGGACUACAUGGUAAGGAAAAGUAACACUAUAGAAUUAGAAAAGGAGAGCAAGAAAAGCAGAAGACAUGCUGCCACAUGCAUGAAUUUACAUGAAUGCCUCAUCUUUAAUUUUGAGCUGCUACAUGCAGGAUGGGCAUUUGAGGGUCUUCAAGUGGCCAAGCAUGGAAAUUAUUCUGGAUCAAACUGAUGCUCAUACAACCGUGAAGGAUCUGGAUUUUAGGUGGAUGGAUGCCUAUGCAUACUAAAUUUACAAAGUUAUUGGAUUUUUUUUUUUUGUUUUGUUAUCAUGUAUCAUUUCUGAGCCUAUGAAAUGCUUUGCAGCUCAAAUGGUAAGUUUCUCGUGUCAUUGGGCAACAGUGGCCCAUGCAGAGUUUGGGAUUUGACAUCAUCAACAGCUAUAGCCAGUCUGCCAAGGGAAAUUGUAAGCUUCUUAAGUGAUUCUUAUAUGUGGCUGUGUUUGAAAUUUUUGCUGAACAUACUAAUCUGAACUGUAUCUGCUUCCAGGGUGAAAUUUUUGGCUUCUGCAGAUUCUCUCAGACCAGGGCUGAUAAUCCAGUUUUAUAUGUUACUGCAAUGCACGGUGUCGUUGUUGGAUAAGGCUAUUUCUUCUUGGAAGUUUUUCACUAUAGUCACAAUUUUUGUAGGAUAUAACACCAAACAACAUACGUACAGGUAACCAAGCAAAGCUAGUGUCUUGGGAUUCCCUUUCAUGGAAGAGGGUUGGAGAAAGAAAGAUAGGUCGUGAUCCAAUUUCCGCAUUCAACGUAUCCAUGGAUGGUAAACAUCUUGCUGCGUAAGUGACUCAACUUAUACGUCCAUCACUGGUAUAGUUCUGUUAGUAAUAUUUUCCUAUGCUUUGCUAUUUCAUUUGCAUGAUUUAUUCUAUUAGUCGUAUUCUACUUCUGAGAGUCUAAAGUUGGCUUGUGAAUGAUAUGAUAUUUGCUACAAGGUUGAUAGUAACAGAAGUAUACAACUUAGAGUAAUUUGAAUUUGGAAAUAUGAGCUGUAGCUUUUUGUGGGUUCCCCUGGGGUAACGUCCUGUCAUACCCCUUUAUUUAUUGUUUUGACUUGUGGCUUUUUUUAUGCAUCUGAAGUUCUAAGCCGAACUUCAGAAAUAAUUACCACCAUCUAACUAUCUUUUCUCGAGUCAGAAAUAAUUUAGGUGACCAUUUUCUGUUCUUUUAAUGAUGCAAACAUGCUCUAAUUUGAGCCCCUUAAGAUUUUUUACUUUCAUCUGGAUUUCGGAGAACAGAAUGAUUCUUCUGUCUUAAAGAGGUAUUAAAGCAUUUCAUCAUUCUUUGUGUCUGCCUUGACUUUGUCAAGAGUCCAUAAUUGUAUCAUCAUCUUGGAAAUAAGCCAUCCCAAUAUGUGGCUCAAUCAGUAGUGACUGAAUACACCCAACAUUCAUUAUUUUGUGUAAAAAUAGGAAAAUAUAUGGUGGAAAAUUCUUUGCUUCCGUAGUUUAUUUUCUUGAAAAGAAUAGCCUUUUCUUCACUGUUUGCAGUGGGACUGUUGAAGGGGAUAUUACUAUAUUGAGCUCGUUGGAUAUGCGGGUGCAGAUGACGGUUAAAAAGGCACACCUUGGCAUCGUGACUGCAUUGGCUUUCACACAAGAUUCAAGGUUAUUAUUCCACCUUCCCACCCCACCCCCCGCAUCAUAAUCUUAGGGUCUUAAGAACUUUUUUUCUUUGUCGCGUACAGGGCACUGGUUUCUACAUCCUUCGAUUCAAAUGCACGAGUCACAGUAAUCGAGAGCCAAAAAAGUAGCGGUAAAGUCUCGAUCUGCCUUUUGGUCUUAGGUGCAUGCUUAUGUUUUUGAAGAUUUUGAUUAUAUGUCCGUCGCCAGGGCCCAACCUGUGGCUUUUCGUGCUGGUGAUCAUGCUGGCCGUUCUGGUCUAUUACUUGAGGUUUACGGGAGUCUUCUAAAGGGGUGCACUUCGGGCUGCUUUUUGAUCGCGGAUACGUUUUUGUCGGACAAGGGACCGUUUCGAUUGAAUAAUAUGUUCAGGGAUGCUUUUGCACGCCAAAUGGAAUGAAUGCACCGACAGAAUGACCAACUAUUUUCAGCUCUGGAUUCAAGAAGAAAGCUCCCAAUAGCUUCUAACAUUAAUGAGUUGCAAAUUUAGAUUGAAUUGUUUUUGGUUUCAUAAGAACUCGCCUGUAGACGCUGUCAUGUACACCUCCAAAUAAAAUAAAAUAAAAAAAUUGAAGAGAAAAUCCAACAACAUUCAAAGGCUUCAGUCGUAGAGACACCCUAGUACUGAAGAAGUGCCCACAAGGACUACCAUUCACACAAUGUCUACACAUAUAAAUCUUCUAACAUUCAGUCGGAAGAGAGACGGGCACUGGUACUCAAGAAGUGCCCACAGAGACUACCAUUCACACAAUGUCUAUCUCAGGCACAAAAAACAACAAUCUCUCAGACACAUCACUCGUCUCUAGUGCUGUCCUUGAUCCACUCCAGAUACUUGUGAUUCCCCCCGGUGAUGGGCAUGGCAAUGACUUCAGGAACCCUGCAUCCAUAUUUCUAAUUGUCAGCUUACUCUCUCUCUCUCUCUCUCUAUAUAUAUAUAUAUAUAUAUAUUGGAACCAUGGCACUUACUCGUACUCAUGAUUGGAUUUCACAUGUUCAGUCAAUGCACCAAUAAGGGAUUCCCGGGUCUUUAUUAUCAGUAGUUCCUCAGAAUCUGUUUGUACCUGAAAAUUUAAUACACAAAGGCUGUAACAAAAUUACCUCCCAAAUCAAUAUUUUAAAUAAGAAAGAAUUCCAUUAAACCUUAGAAUCUAACCUUGCCAUCCCACCAAUAAACUGACUCAAUACCUGCAACCAUAAAAUGCACGCAUGCUCAGAGAAACAUCAAUUUGAAUGAUGUAUCUUACAAGUAUUUAUGAUAUAACCAUGGAUGUACAUCUUGUCAUGUCAAUAAAUUAUGACAAUAAAAAUAAUAAUCACCGACUAAUUCAAACAGUUAUUGCUUACCAGCAAAACAUCUAUAUUAGGAACCUGAGGAACUGUAUGGCCAUAGGCGUAAACAUAAAUUCUUUCGACAAUCAGGUCUAUAGUUGCUCAACUUCAACUUCAAAUUCCAAGAAAGGAACUGUAUGCCCAUAGGCGUAAACAUGCUCUCAAGCAACAAAAGAGCCGAAGCCAACAUCAAAAAAUUGUAGUUGUUUCUUGAACUCAUGAAAAAUACAAAAGAUGGCAUCAUAGGAAAGAUAGAUGCACAGUGUAGCAGCUUGUGUUGGAUAGUGCCAUCUAACACACAUGCUCUGGGCCAAAGAACUCUAAUAGGUAGAUGAUUCUAGCAAUGUUAGUCUCAAAAAUAUAUUGCACGGUUAAUGCUUUGAUAAGGACAUCAGCAACUGUUAAAGCACUAGCCCAUUCUCUCUCUUCCUCACUGAAUACUUAUGGGGCAUACAUUUAGUUGAAUUUAUUGUGACUUAUUUAAUAGAAAGAAUUACUAGUCAAACCAUGGACAAUCCAGAUUGAAGAUGAACACUAACAAUUUCAUCAGAUCCAAGAUACAAUAGGCAAUCCAGAUUGAAGACUUGUAUGGAUCCUUGUACUUAAAAGAUAACAAGAAGCUGUAAUGUCAAACAAAGUUUUCAAUAAUCAAACAAAGAGAUCUUUUGUGAUUUCUAAUUAGGAAUGAGCUACAUGAAUUUUUCCUACAAUUCAGCCCCAUUGAAGGCAAAAUCAAUAAUUAAACAAAGAGCAAUCUUUUUUUUCUGUGUGUGUGUGUUUUCUAAUAAAGUUCUCAAAAUUAGGAAUCUUAGAGACCUCCUCAUAUUCAUUGAACACAUACAUGAAUUUUUCCUACAAUUCAGCCCCAUUGAAGGCAAAAUCAAUAAUUAAACAAAGAGCAAUCUUUUUUUUCUGUGUGUGUGUGUGUUUUCUAAUAAAGUUCUCAAAAUUAGGAAUCUUAGAGACCUCCUAAUAUUCAUUGAACACAUACUUUAUAAUAUCAUAAUGAGUGCUAUGUUUUACACUAUAGAAUCACAAUGAUCCAUGGGAUUAUUUCCCAUAAAUGUUUCAAGAUAUGCUCAUCAUGAUACAUGCUUUAUAUUUUCAAUGUUCACACCAUUUUCAACAUUGACUUAUUUGCAUUACCAUAUUAAACAUUGACUUAUUUGCAUUACCAUAUCCAAUAAUGUAUAUAGAUUUGAAACCAACCCGAAAUGCCAGAUAUGGUCCUGUUUUUGGAUCAAUAAGCAUGUUGGAUUUGGUUUUGGAACUAGAUGGAUCCAGCCUGACAACUUCCAUCUAUGAUGUGCAAUCUCCAACAACAAAAGGAUAAAAGUUCCUUUUGACAAUUAUAUCAAAUUCUAAAACAGUAAAGUCACGAAGGAAAUGAUUUCUGAUAUUAUCUUACAAAGGAGUGAAGGAUAUCUCUAGCAAUGAGUUCAAAGAAAAUGCUACAUAUAAACUUUCAAGCAAGAUAGUUGCAUGUUGCUACAGUCAACAAGAUCUUCAUAAUUAAAUAAAUAUCUGCCGUAUACACAGAAUCUAUAAAACACUAAUAAACAAAGAUGAAAGGCACAAAACUUGAUAUGAAUUUAUUUUUAAGCAGGAUUAUCACAUGCCAUAAAAACAAAACUGAUGUACAUGCCUGGCACUCGAUUGACACAUGCAGCAAGUCUUUCCUUGAUGAUGCUUUCUGCAAGUUUCAUGCCUAUGUUUAAACAAGUAAAAUCAUUUAAUUAUGAAUUCAAAUAGCACUAGAAAAUUUGGAAAGGAACAUCAUAAUUAGAGAGCAACAGACAAAUUAGAGAAUAAAGUAGAUUUGCGUAAUUUAGAGAGAAAUAAGUCCAAAAGCAUGGAGAUGCAUUUGGUAUCAUGUUAAUAUCAUAAUUGUCUCAAACAACAAACUUAAACAUGCAUCCGACAGUAAAUUAGAUGCAAUAUAGUUGCCCAUCACUGUCCCCUCAACUAACGCAGAAAGAUGGGCAUCAGCUUAUUGCACAAAACUUAAUCAUCUACUAGACAUAGGAAAAAAAAUUUCCUUGUGAUUGGCGCAUGUACACAUGACAAAUGAGGGAUAACAUUACUACAUGAAGCCUGUUGCUGGAAGUGACAAAUUUUGAAACUUAUUUAGUAAAUCAAAAUGUUGUUCAUGCAUAAAUAAGAAAAUAAAUUGUAUACAUUUUGGAUUGGAAGAUCAAACCAAAAAAAAAAUUGGAAAAGCUUAUUAUUAUUCAAGGAAUGCCUAUAACCAAGAAACUUAUAAUUGAAAAAAAAUUUGAAUAAUUAUAUAAGAAAAACAUAUGGUGAAUAUAAAGGGGGUGCAUGGGGGGGAUUUGGAUAUGGGGAGAAAAAUUGAAGAUGAUAGUAUAAUUUUUGGAUUUUACAACUUCGUAUGAUCUUAUAAUUGUAAAUACCCACUGUAAGAAGAGAUACGAACAUUUAUUUACUUAUAAGAGUGGUCAUAACUGUAGUCUAAUAAAUAGACUUUCUUCUCACUCAAAGAUGGAUAAAAUUAGAAAGCAUGACAAAUCAACAUAAGUUGAUGGUAUUAGAUAUUUAGAAAAUGAAAGAAUAAAAAGAUAAUAGAAAAAACUACUAGGAUUAGAUGGUGAAAUUUUAAAAAUGAUAAUGUAAACACUUUUAAUAAUAAGAUGGAAAAAGAUGCAACUUAAAACUUAAAUAAGGAUAAUAUUAAUAUUAUUUGAACUACGAUGGCUAAUAAGAUUAGGAGCUUAACAAAAGAUAUUCUUAGUGAAACUAAAGGUAGAGGUGUAACGAUAAGAGAGAAUUGGUGAUGGUUCGAGGAAAUUUAAAAAAUAAUUUUUACAAAAAGAUCAUGUUUUAAAGAUUAAUAAAAUAAUAAAAAUAAGGAAAAACUUAAAAGAUAUAAAAAAUUAAAAAAGAGGCUACAAAAAGCAGUUAGUAUGACAAGAUAUAAAACUUACGAUAAUUUUUAUAAUAAAUUAGGUACUAAAGAUGGUAAAAAAGAUACAUAUCGAAUUAAUAAAGAUAGGAAAAAAAAAUAUAAGGAUUUAGGUAAUAUUAGAUGCAUUAAAGCCGAAGAUCAAAGAAUAAUUUUUAAUGACAAUGAGAUUAAGGAAAGAUGAAAAAUUAUUUUUAUAAAUUAUUUAAUGAAUAUUCCACACAAAACUUAGAUUUAAUGAUAAAUAAUAAUGAUAGAUUUAAUAAUCAUAUGUUUAUUCAGAAAAUUAGAGCUAAUGAAGUAAAAGAUGCAUUAAGGAAGAUGAAAAUAACUAAAGAGUAUGGGGCCUAAUGAUAUCCCUAUUGAGGUAUGAAAAAGUUUAGGGAACAAGUGAAUAGCUUGAUUAACUGGUUUAUCUAACAAAAUCAUGAGAUUCGAAAGAAUGUCUAAUGAAUAGAAAAAGAGUAUUCUAGUGUCAAUUUAUAAAAGUAAAGGUGACAUACCGGAUUGUUCAAAUUAUAAAGGAAUUAAAAUCAUGGGUCAUACUAUGAAACUUUAGAAAAAAAGUCAUCGAAAGUAGGAUAAGGCUUGAAACAAAUAUCUCUGAAAAUCAAUUUGGUUCUAUGCUUAUAAGAUCAAUCAUAGAAGCUAUUUUAUUAAGAUAGUUAAUGAAAAGGUAUAGGGAGAAAAAAAAAGAUGUGCAUAUGGUUUUUAUUGACUUAAAGAAAACCUAUGAUAAGGUUCCUAAAUAUUUAUUAUGGUAAGUUAAAAAAAAAUAAAGAUGUAUCCACUACUUAUAUUGAUGUUAUUAAAUAUACGUAUGAUAAUGUAGUUAUUAGUGUUAGAACUAUUGGGAGUGUAACUAGUGAGUUUCCUAUUAGCAUGGGAUUACACCGAGGAUCCACAUUAAAUCCCUAUCUUUUCACAUUGAUAAUGGAUGAAUUUACUAGUCACUUACAUGAUAGACCUCGUUAGUGUAUAUUAUUAGUUGAUGAAAUUGUCUUAAUCGAUGAGAGCUUAAGUGGAAUUAAUUAUAAACUUGAGCUAUAGAGACAAAUCUUAAAAACUAAAGGUUUUAGAUUAAGUAUAACUAAAACUAUAUAUAUAUAUAUAUAUAUAUAUAUAUAUAUAUAUAUAUAUAUAUAUAUAUAUAUAUAUAUAUAUAUAUAUAAUUUUAAUAAUUUUAGAAAUAGACAAGAGAAUAUAGUUAAACUGGAUGGACAAGAAACCCCUUUAAGUAAAUCAAUGAAGAUAUUAUUCAUAGAGUAAAAACGGGAUGAUUAAAAUGGAAAGAUGCAUCAAAGAGUCUUGUGUGAUCAUCAAAUAUCUUUAAGAUUAAUAGAAAAAUUUUAUAAGAUGGUUGUAAGAUCAACAAUGCUUUAUGGAUCUGAGCGAUGCGCAGUCAAGAAAAAACAUAUACAAAUAGUUUGUGUUGCCAAGAUAAGAAUGUUGAGAUGGAUGUAUUGCGUUACUUAAAAAAAAGAAAAAAAUAUUUUUAUUCGUGAAUAAGUAUCACUUCAACAGAAGACGCGAUAAGAUAAAAUCAUUUAAGAUGAUAUGAGUAUAGGCUGAGAGGACCUCCGGAUGCGGUAGUCAGAAAGGUGAAAUAAUUAAUGUUAGUGGUAUAAAAAAAGGUAGAGGAAGAUAAAAAGACUUUAAUAAAAACUAUAAAUAAAUAUUUAGGUACUUUAAACUUAACUAAACAUAUGGCUUUUUAUAGAUCUCAAUGGUAACAAGAAAUACAUGUAGCUAAUGUAAUCAUCGAUAAUUUUUUUCCUUAACAUAAAUUAAUUAAUAUAAAUGAUAUAUUACUUUAUUAUUUACUUCUAUAUUUGUGUAUUAUAGUUAAGGAAAUGAUUAGAUUUGGUUUCCUUAAUCAUAUGGAUAAGUUAGGAAUUCUAUUAAUCAAUUAAAUUAUUAAUUGAUUUAUUUCCUAAUGAGUGAUUUGAUAUUUAGAAAGUAAAUAGUUUACAUUCCAUUUUUAUGUGUGAACUAUAAAAAAUAAAUAUUAUAUUACUUUUUUUGUGUGUGAAAGCAAAUGUAAAAUAAAUUAAGAAUAAAAAUUAAAUUAUUACUUACCUUUCGGGGAGAUCUCAUCUUCUCCUAUAUAAAGGGAUUAUUCAUCCCUCAUUCUCAACUAGGCCUAACAAUAGGAGGAUUGAGGAGAUGAUUUUCUGGGGAGAUGAUAUCAAGGAAGGGAUAAUCGAAAAGAGGUAGGAUCCUUUCUUUUUAAUUAGUUUUGAUUUGUGUUUUGAAAUCUUGACAUUGAGAUUGUUACAAUUUUAUAAUGAAUAAUGAUGUUUUAAUUUCGAAAUUUCAUGAUUUUUGAAUAAUAAUAAUUGAUUUAUGAUGUUCGACUAAUUAUUUGAUUUGUAUUGAUCUUUUAAGCUUAAGUGAAUUUUAAUAUUGAUUUAAUUAUUAAAAUUCUUAUUUAGUAUAAUAGUUCUUAUUUAUUUAAUUAGUUAUAUCUAUAUUUCAAGAAUUAUGUGUGAAUUUCUGUAAUGUAAUUAGUUUUAAAUUUUAGAUCAUGAAUUUAAAGAUUUAAUUAAUUUAUUUGAAUAAUUCUUUAAUAAUUUUAAAUAUUAAAAUCUAAUUUGAUAAGAGGAGUCUAAUUGGGGUCUGACUUGAGUCAAGUUGAUCGAUCAGAUCGAAUCGACUCAGACCAUGUGAUCAUGUACAACCUAGCUUAUGUGACUAAGUACAACCUAGUCCAUGUGGUCAGGCAUAACCCAACCCAUGUGGCUAGGUACGAUCUAAUUCAUAUGGCCAUGUAUGACCCAGCCCAUGCGGUAAGGUACGACCCAAUCAUGUGGUUAGGCAUGGACCAGCUCAUGUGGCUAGAUACAAUCCAGUCCAUGUGGCCAUGUAUAACCCAACUCAUAUGGUAAGGUACGACCCAAACAUGUGGCUAAGCAUAGGCCAGCUUAUGUGGCUAGGUACAACUCAGUCUAAGUGGUCAGAUACGACCCCAACUCAUGUGUCUAUGAUCAAUUCGUGAGCCAAGCAUGGCCUAGUUCAAUGGUAAGGCCCAGCCCAACUUAUAAGUGAGGCUUAGCCUAGUCCAUGAAGUUAAGCCUGCCCAGCUACGUGAUUGAUAUUAGACAUAUCGUCGCUCCUUUUAUAUAUAGCCCGUCGUACCUCAACUCAACCUAGUAUUUGGAACAAGUAUAUGCAAUAUAUAUAACCCGCCCAAGACUCAGGUGGGUUGGUUCGGUUUGGGUUAGUACUAUACGACAUAGUCCAAUCUCCUUCUCUAUUGGUUUGAGCUCAUUAAUUGACGAAAUCAAAUAGGUUUGAUCAGUUAAAGCUGAUUUAGGGUGAUUCCAAACUAACUUGACUGGUUAAAACCUAUUUGACCUAAUCGAGAUCAAUCAAAUCUAAAUUAGACCGGUUUAGGGUGAUUCCAGACUGGUUCCAUAAGGAUUUGGUAUUGGUUUCGUUAGAUCAUAAUCGAAUUGAGUUUGGUUUAAGUCAAUUGAGCUAUUCCAAUUAGGGUUUUGAUUGAUUGAGGACUAUUGAGAUAUUGAUAUUUAAUUGAUAUGAUGAAUUUAAAGGUUUUAUCUGAAGAUGUCAUUUGAAAAUGAUUAUUGGUUUUCUAUGUUUAUGAUAUUGAUAUGAUAAGUAUCAUGUAGUAGAUGUGACUAGACUAGUAGUUCACAUUGGGAGUGCAACCUGUGAAAGGAGCUACAGGCCCAUCAUAGUGCGGAGCCACCAAUGAACAAAGUCUAGUAGAUUUACAUCAAGUAUAGUCUCUCAUAAUAUUUAAUCAUAUUGAUUUCUUGAUGUAUGCAUAAGUGAUUGAAUGAGUGUAAAUGAAUGAUCAUGGAUGUUAUGUAUCCCUACCGAGGGCAGGUACGGCGAUUCCCUUCGGGGAUUAGCGGGCCGUCAGACGUGAUGGUUAGACGGUUCCUCCGUCCGCUGUUGGGAGGAACGUGUCCCCACUUGGGCGGGUGAGGGAUACCACUCCAUCCGCUAUUGGGAGUGCGAUAUGGAUUAUCUCCAUCCGCUGUUGAGAGGAAUCCAUCCCGUGGAAUAUGCCUCUCCAUCCGUUGUUGGGAGAGCGCACCAUUGGGUGAUGUACGCCUUUGUUAUUAUGUAUGUAUUGUAUGUGGCUGAUGCAUGAUUUUGUUUAUUAUGCAAGAAAUUAUCAUCCUUUUUCUGAUGCAUAAGUUUUAUGAUGAAUAGAUAUAUUUUCAUAUUGAAUUAUUGAUAUUUGUUUAUAUUUUAUGAAUAUUAAAGAUUAUUUUUAUGACUUUUCUGAGGUUCCUACCAGCAUGUGUGGUUGCUGAUGUGUUUUUAUUUUAUAUUUAUUUUCAGAGUAAUCGACUAUUGUGUAAUAGAUCUGAAGCUUGGGUGGAAGAGACUUGUGACCCUGUGAAGAAGAUGUCAUUUUUCUAGCUAAUAGAAUAUCUAUUACUGUAAAGACAAUAAUUUGAAUUCAAAGACGAAUGAAAAGAAAAUGAGGGAGUUUAUUAUGUAAAUUAUGGAUAAUAAAUUACUGAUUUAUUAUUCUUUUUAUAAAUUCGGGAUGUCAUCAUAGCCUUCAUGGAAGAAAAUAAAUAUUAUUUUUUUAUAUAACUUUUCAUAAGCUUCUUCCAAGCUGAUUAUUGAACUUAUACCUUUUUCUUUUUUUUAAUCAUAUAUCCAUAUAAUGAUCUUCAUUCAAGGAGGAAGAGGAGGCGAUGGAGGAAGAGGCUGAGAAGAAUAGGCGAUGAAGCCAACAACAAUGGGCAUAUGAUGGAGAGAAGAGAAGGAGACACUCACACAUGCCCUAUGCAUCAAUGCUCGGACAUUUAAAAGAAAAAACCACAGUUGUUGGCUUAAGAAAAAGGACCAGAUCAGACUACCUAAAAUGGAGCGAUCUACCUCGAAUCAUGCUCAAACCAACUAUUAUUGAUCAGUACAAACACAAUUUAAUUCCAUGGUUUUGCCACACCUACCAUGACAAAACCUUCAGAUAGUUCAAGUUUAAUUACUUAAAUGUCCAUAAAAUUAUGUUUGUCACAAAAUUUGAAACUUUUAUUUUAUCCCUUGCUUUUCCUAUUCAACCAAAAUGUAAAUUUUUCUUGUCAAGAAUGGCAUAAAACAGUCUAUAAGACAUCAUAAUGGAUAUAGUAAAGCAGUUUAUGAAAAGAUUUCUUUUGAUUUAUCCAUGAAUUAGAUCUUGGCUCCAAACAUCCAGUUUGUAGUUCACUUGAAAUCAAGCGCAAAAAAAUAGAUGUCUCUAUGUGGAAAAACAGCUACAUUUUUAUGUAAGAUAUCAUAUUUGUGUUAUCAUGUUAGAAUGUCGAUCUCAAGAUUUACAAUUUUUUCACCCUGGUCAUUAGAUAAGGCAUAUUAUUUGCAAUAAAUUAGACCCAGAAAAAUGACAGUACAUGUAUUCAGCAAUGAAUUCUAUUUGUUCCAAAGUCAUGGUAGAUUGAGCUCUUCAGCAAACUUUUCUGUCUGAAAUUGUGCAGUAAACUGAACAUCAUGGUUCUUUUGUUUCAAAUAUCUAUUUCCCUUUAUAAAAGUACUCGUAUGAUCCACAACAUCAAAUUAUGUGUCAUUACAAGUUGUUGCAAGGUAAUGAAUGUAGUAUAACUAACAAGAAAGGAAUGGCAAUACAUAAUUUUAAUGAGACCUUUUUGUUCCUAAAUGAAAUAUUCAACACUUCAGCUUACUUUGUGUCAAAGAGAUCAUAGUGUGAACUCAACAUCAUGGAUUUUUUUCAUGAUAAUUUUAAUUUUGUAUCUUCAUUUUGUCAUGGAUGCUCCACUCCAGAAAGCACUUGUAGCAUCUAAUAAGACAAAUAACAACAGUUUUGACAAAUAAUUCAAGCUUAAUGAAUAUCACACCUAAUGAACACAGAAUAACUAUAUCAAACAGGGUGCUGACCCAAAGGUAUAUAUUGAUGGCACAAACAGCAUAUAUUUCAAGAGUCUGAAAGAUAAUAUAUACAAUGUGAUUAACCUUUUGUGUUAAGAAAGCUUAUGAAGAAACAAAAGUCUGCCAAAUAGGAUAUUGUCUUGUAAUCAAAAAAAGCUUGUGAAAAAUUCAUUGUUUGUAAAGAGUAAAGACAAUAGUUAAAGUUGUGCUAUGGUGAAUAUAAACCUAUCUGGACAUUUACCCAACAAACUAAAUGCAACAGAAACCAAUGUAAACCAUGUAGUUCCAUCCAUCAACAAAAUCUCAGAACCACAUUUGUAACUCAUAAGAUUUACAUUCACUAAAAUGCCAGAUUAGCAAGUCAGCAAUUAGAAGUAAAGAACACUUUAGAAGACAAACAAACCUGCUUCUCUGUUUGGUACAGUCACAUAGACAACAAUAGAUGGAACAGUAGUUGAAGCACCUUCCAUUAUAGUAGAGUGAAGACUUCUGUUGGAUGGCUGGUUAACAACCUUUGACCUGCAUAAACAGAAACAUUGAGCAGAGAGAAAAAAAAGACUGACAUAAGAAAUUAAAAGAAAUCUGCCAGAAGAAACCAUAAUAGAAUUUUCUUAUUGGUAAAAUGACCUGUUUAUGUGAGAAAAGACAAACAAACAGAAAGAGAAGGUUCCAACCUUCACAACCAAGAGAGAAUUUUAGUGGGGUACCAAACCUAAACCUACUGUGAGAACCAGGUACACUAGAACAACUGUAAGAUGGACCUGAACAUUUUUUCAGCCCCAGACUGACGAUAGAAACCACAUCGCAGUUCACAGCUUGUGGUGACAAAAGAAACAGGCUUUUCCAAAACAAAAGAUGCACCUGAACGAUACACACAAGAACAGAAGGCUUGCCUGCCUGAGGCACACAGUAUUUGCCAUCAAACAAUGGACCAGCUAUCAUCCACAAGAUGCUUGUACUAAUUUGCAAGAAUUGCUCUAGAGUUCUAGACAAUUCUGGAAGACAGUGACCCCUUGUAGCAUUCACUCAAACUUAGUUUACGAAGAUUGCAAUAAACAACUAAAAUAUGUUCCAUCUUGAGUAAAAAUUCUGUAAGAUAAAGUGAAUCUUUCAUAGCAAUCACUCAAACAGGUGAGACGUAGAGAUUUCUAUUCAGAGAUCUUGGCUGCACAACCACAACCACGAUGCGUUCCUUAAACACUACACGGAUGCAUGGAUACCUACUCGAGUUCAAGAACAAAAUACUUCACAGCACGAUCACCAACCCUGUUAUCAAGAUUCAAGAUCCUCAACGACCUUGUCAUCAAGAUUCAAGAUCCCGCUCUUCUUACGACAGUAUAUACAGAUACAAGAAAAAUAUAGCAAUCUAAUACCCAAGAAGAGAUGACAAGAACAUGAUCGAGAAGAACCAACGGGAAUCCCUCCAGAUUCCGGGUCCAACAAGCGAGGGAUUGAGGUUUUACCCGAGGAAAUGGAAGCGGCGAAGGGCCUGGGCACUGGCAAAGCCCGACCUGUAGGCGAUCGCGGAGAGGGUGCCGAGGCUCAGAAUACAGAGCGCCCCGACGAGCGGAGCGCGGCGUCGAAGCGUUGUCGGCGCCGACGAAUGGCGGCGAGGUGGAGCGGCGCAGAACGCCGAGACGGCUCGCGAAAGGCUUCCAAAUGGCAUCUCCUCCGCCCCACUCUUCUUUUAUAUAUAUAUAUAUAUAUAUAUAUAUAUAUAUAUAUAUAUAUAUAUAUAGUCUAUUUAUUUCUCUGGUUUUACGCAUCUAUCCCUUCAAAGCUUCGUAAAUCACAUAUGUGCCGCUCCAAAUCUUAAUAUAACAUCUACACAGACACACACUGCCCUUAUAAAAUACCAAACCUACUCUUUACUGUAAUCAUCAAAUUCUUUGAUCAUUUCAAGACAAAUUUGGGAGAAUUACAUAUACACAUAUAAUAUUAUGAUUGAUGAUCAUGCUUUUAUCUACUACCACAUUAUGCAUUUUGAUGUCAAACCAAAGCUAAUAUGUCCUCUUUCCAAGCCAUAUGAUGCCAUCAUCAUUUACUUAGGACAAAAAGGCUGCUCCUUUAUAAUCCUCCUCUCCCCUUCUCUUCCACCGCUUACAGGCAUCAUUUCGACAUUACUGUCAUCCUCCACCUUCCACUGCCUUCGCAAUGUCAACUGCUCACUUCACUGAAGACCAAGAACAUGAAAAGUUUCUCCUCGAGGCUUCUUUCUCUCCCUCUAAAGAGACCAUUUUGAGGAGCAGGGAAGGAAGAACGGCCUCGAAUCUGGAUUUGUCCUGCAGCUUUGAUCUAUCUACAAUGGGCGUGAGCUAUAGAUUUGCUUCCUCCGUCCUCCUCUGCCCGGAAGACGGCAAAAGCAUCCUGGGAAGUGAUGAUGAGGAGAAACAAGAGCAGGGCCUCAAUGGAGAGGUUGAAAGGCGCAGCCUUUGCCAUUUCCCUGGCGAAGGGGGCGAUUUUUAUGGGGAACCUUUGCCGUCUGAGGAUCGCAUCGCCUUGAUGGUUGAGAGGGAGUCCCAUCAUCUCCCGGAGGGAGACUAUGCCGGGAGGUUGAGGAGGGGGCAGUUGGACCGGGCUGUGAGGAGUGAUGCCAUUGACUGGAUUCAGAGGGUGGGUUGAGUUGUUCCUUGCUUUCUUGUAUUUCUUCAUCUCUGGAUUCCUCAGCACAAUAUUUUCCCAGGCCCUCGUUGUUUCUCUGACAAGUACUGGGAGUGCAGGACCAUCUGAUCCCCGAAAGCAUUCAUCAACUUAAUUAGAGUUUGUUCUUAGUUCUACUUUUCCCCUCCAUCGUGAUAACUAGUUUUGCAUUUGCUUUCCUUCUUUGCAGCUGAAGUUAUUUGUGCCUACAAUAGUCAAAAUUGAUCUUUUUAAUCAAAGUGAUAAUUCUCUCUUUCCCAAUAUCUUCAUGGUGUAGAAUUUACUUGGUAACUAUUUGGUGUUUGUUUCCGAAUGGACAGGUUCAUGCACAUUACAAGUUUGGACCUUUGAGUGCCUACUUGUCUGUGAAUUACUUGGAUCGGUUUCUCUCCGCUUACAAACUACCGGUAAGAAAAGUUACAAGAACACUUGUUUCCUUAAUGUGAUCUCUAUCUAUAACAAUGUUGACAAAGUAGCAGGAAAAAGUUCUUUCUUCUUUUCCCUUUAAUUUAAUUGAUUAUUUCAGCAAGGUAAGGCUUGGAUGACACAAUUGUUAUCAGUGGCCUGCUUAUCCAUUGCUGCCAAGGUGGAGGAAGCCGAGGUUCCUUCGUCUCUAGAACUACAGGUAAAUGAAAAGCACUACUUUUCUUUUUUUUUCUAUGUACAUGGUAAUCUAGGACGAUAACUUCUCAGUUGCCGAUCGGUAAUUUCCUUUCGGCCAAACAGGUAGGAGAGGCAAAAUAUGUAUUUGAGGCCAGGACCAUACAGAGAAUGGAGCUUCUAGUGCUUAGCACCCUCAAGUGGAGGAUGCAAGCAGUUACACCCUUCUCAUUCGUUGAUUACUUUUUGUAUAAACUCAGUGAUGAAAAGUCACCAGAUAGCUUACUAAUUUAUCGCUCUAUGGAUCUCAUUUUGGGCACAAUUAGAGGUCAGUGAUUUGGAGUAGUACAUAAUAUAUGGAUCUCUAGUUUGAUAUGGCAAGCCUAACAUGAACUUGACUGUAACCUUUUUGCAGAGAGUGAUUUUCUAGAAUUCAGACCUUCGGAGAUUGCUGCAGCGGCUGCACUGUCAGCCUUGAAAGAGACUCAAAAUUCGGGGAUUGACAUGUCUUUAACAUGCUGCAUCCAUGUAGAUACGGUAAGAUAAUCCAUCUGUAAUGCAUUACUUCAAUGAACAAAUUCUAUAUAUGUUUGAAGGACCUAGUUUUAAAUUGGUUUGCACCAUGGAUUCAGGAAAGAGUCUUGAGGUGUCAUCAAGUGAUUCAAGAGAUGACUUUGAUGAAGAACAGGACAUAUAGUGACAACAACAGUCCAUCAGUUUCUACUGUGACAAAGAGUCCAAUUGGGGUACUGGAUGCUGGGGUCGCGAGCUAUGAGAGUGAUGAUACAACAGCUGGAUCACAUGCAGAUUGUCAUCAUUCCUCGCCAGCUACCAAAAGGAGGAAACUAAACAGGCCAUCAACUUCGUGAAAGGAGGGAAAUUUUGUGGUGUUUCCUUGUUUGAUCGAUAUUCCGAAUCAGUUUAAUUUGUUACGGAGAGCUUUGUCGUGGCCAGCAUGUGCCUGAAGAUGUAACUAGCUUUAAAUCAGUAGAGGAGAAAGGGGAACAAAGGGUUUGUGAAUUCUAAGUUCAUCCAUGUACACCUGACGAGAUCCACAUUCUUAGAGCAUAAUGCAUGAAUGCAUGGUCGAUAAUGAGAUAUAUCAGGCUGGAUCUUUUAAAUGUGUGAGAAACUCAUAUUGUCAAACAAAAAUUGAGAAAACAUGAUGUUUUUUGUUUCUGCUUUUUGUUCUUAGGAAUAUUACAGAUCUUAAUUCAUUUUGUGAUUCGAAGAUGAGCACUCUCUUGCACCGCUUGCUUGGUCUUUGUUUGUUUCUGUUUCUCACAUAAAUGCAAACAAUAGGAUGGUAUUCUUCACCUUGUUUCAGAUAAAAAAGAAAACCCAAAAAAUGAAGAUCCAAGAGAGAAAAUUAGAAUCAAAAGCAUGUAUCCCAUUGGCAUUCCUCUGAUUACUUGCUCCUGUAUCUGUAUUUUUCGCCAUGUCCUUGCAUUGUUUGACUGCUUGUCUGCUUAGACUCUUUGAUUUGCUGCCCCUUUGAUAUAAAUGCAGAAGAGCCCACUCUUCAGUACAGAUCCAGUGAUGGCAAAGGUACAGACAAGGAUUAAAUAUUUAUAGGGAGGAGAGUUGGUGGACCUUUAGGAAUAUUCAGGUCCCAGCAUCAGCUGUCAAAACAAUGUAAAUACACUGAGGGAUCAUUCCCCUCCUGCCUUAGCAUUUGUUUUACCUUCAUCAUAUGUAGACAAGGAUGAGUACUUCCUAAGUCCCAAACUUGUGUCUCCUGUGGUUUCUUGUGUUGGUGUCUGAGAGCUUUGAGCUACCUGCCUGUAUGUGAGAGUGAUACUUGUCAGGUUCCUAAGACACUUUCAUAUUGAACUUUUUUACUAGUUUACUAUGGGAAAAAUAUUUUUUAUGUUCUCUGGUUUUGAAUGCUGUUGAGGAAACUUCAGAUACAUCCAAUUAAGAUGUUUAUGGAUAAAUAGUUAGCUGACAGCUUGUUUAGCAGGCAAUUUGGUUUGUUUAUUGUCAUUGAUGGGCUCCAUUCCAUUUGCAAUGCUGCUUGCCUGCUGGUCUUCUUACUAUGGCAGGUGUGCCUGUGUCAACCAAUACUGGCAUAAGCAGGAUGAGUUCCUUCUGAGACAAUGAAAGAGAAAGUUUGGCCCUUUGGAAGUGCAUGAAAGGGACCAAAGAGAAAUUGCUUUAUUGAUGCAUGGGGAAAGGAAACUUGUGUACAAUAUCCCACAGGGAACUGUCAUGAGGGAGGGUGAUGCAGCUUCACAAAUACAGGUAGGCUCUUCAGAUACAUAUGUCUCUACUGGCUCAUGCUAUAAUCUUUUAUUCAGGGUAGAACUCUCACCAUAAUUGUGAAUUUCUGCUCUAGUGACACUGACAAAGCUUGAUGCACAAAUGAAUCAUGUCUUAUAAUAAUCCAUAAUGAUAUAAACUCAACUGUGUGGAAUGUCUUGAAGAGCCAAUGCUGUGCAUGAAGGUUUCAUAUCUACAUUUCAGUUAGAAUCAGAGCUGCUAGAAAUGUUCAUAUUCACAUGAACUUUUGCAGUCAUGCUUAGUUAUCAAAAUCAUUGCAACUCCUACUGGCACACAUAUGGAAGCAAUUUAAUGCACAUCUCAAGUUCAUGAUUCCUACAUCCAGCCUAGUGUUAAUUGCUGAUCAAUGUGACUCCCACAGUGAUGGGCACAGCCAAUAUGAAAAGAAGAGUACAAAGCUGAAACAAUUCUAAAUGUUUAUCCUAUCUAAAGCUUAGAACAUAAAGACAACCAAUGUCAGUUUGGAAUCACAAGAGAUGAGACACAAAGCCAUAGAUUAGAUACCUUUAGAACUGCUGUAACAUGGGAUUCAUCUUUUACACCUCCACCGCACUCUGAUUCCACCAGUACAGUAGAAGAUAGGAAGAGAACACUAGUUUAAAGGAUCUCUUCACUCUUUAAUAUGUCCCACCUAACAUGCUCCCCAGCACGCCCGGCGGAGAUGGUCCACUGGUCUCUCUCAAGACUGUGAGAUGCCAAGUUGUAGCAAGGAAUCCUUUUCGAUCUGUACCCUUGCAAACAGAGAGUGAGUCGAAGAUAUCGAUUCUAUUUUUCUUGAUAACUCCAUUCCUGUUGUUCUGAAGUGAGACUUCAACUACACUCUAAGAUCUGACAUCGAAACUAGAAGAGAUUGCUUCCCAUCUUUCUGGGGCCCAACACAUCAUGUUGGUGACUGUAAUGGCUACCUGGAUCGAACACCUUGUGUGCAUCUCAAUGCCCAGAAAUAUUAUUAGUCCAUGGAGAUGCUUGUUUAGGUUUCGACCGGAGAUGGAAGUAAAAGACAAGGGAGGACUGAUUCAGGUCGGGCCACUGCCUGUAGAACAUAGCUGACUAGGUCAAAGAGCCUGAAGCUCGGCACAUCUCCUCCUGUUCUUCCCAUUAAGAGGAGUCAAUGACAGGGUUAUGAAGGAUGAGACGAGUAGUAUCACCUCAUAAUUCAACUUGGUCGGAAGGAACACGGCAGGUGGGAAGGACAUGAUGACUGAAGAGGAUCCAUUAUUGCCUCGUGAUCAGCUCAAUGGAGUUCAACAGCCGACCCAGUCGUGGGGAUGAGCAGCUUGUGCGCACUCCAGCCUUGUGUCUGGAAUUUGGAAUGCUGCUCCACAGAUUCUGCCAACCGAUGAGACUGUCGGUGAGCAUUGAAUUCUCACAGGACACAUGAUGGCCCAUCACGUACAUUACAAGGCACUCUCCUGUACAGAGAAUGAUACGUGGAGCUCCCACUCAACCAGUCCAACAUAGACGAAGUAUUAUUAGCAGCAGCAGAAUAAGUCUCUCUACAUUGAGUCUAUAUAUAUAUAUAUAUAUAUAUAUAUAAUUUGUGAUGUAUCAAGUAGGAGUCGGAACAUAUCAUGACAAAACUAACAAAAAUCUAAUAAGAUUCAUCUUGUAAUAAAGAGAGCAUAUCACAAAUGGAUUACGAAAUCGUUACGGGUUAGGUACGAUAUGAAUGGUAUUUAUCUGUUGAUCUCAAUAUGCGUACCGAACUAGAUAUGCCAAAUAAACCGAUCCAACAUCAACCCAUGAGUGAGUUAGAGUUAGAUAUAACAAUGUCAAAAUCAUGUUGUGUUCAGAUGAUAUAAAUUAUAUGGUUCUGAGUGUUAGGAGGCUUUUGUGUGCUGACUUCUGUGAUGUAAAUUAUAAGGUCAUGCACAAGAAGCCCAAAAAUAAAUGGUUAUAUCAUAUAUUAGCAAGUCUUAACCACUAUGAUUAAAACAUUUGGCUUGCUUACAAUAGUAACAUUGCAUGUAUCAUAUUAAGCCUUCUCCACACAUGCAUGCCAAUGAUGACAACCAUCACCACUUGGUCAAGUCAAAAGACUGCCACAAAAAUAUCAAGCCAUGUCGCAAUCACAUGCCAAUCAUCGAUUACGCAUACACCCUAUGUUCCACAUGUUCUUCAUCGUCUCCUACCUUCGACCCUCUCCCUCUCUCUCAUGCUUUCUCCCCUCUCCUCCUCCAGGAAGCGGGAUGGCGAGCUUGGGAGGUGGAGAGUCGCCGCCAGCGGCGGUCUGUUGCAUGUGCGGCGAUCACGGCUUGCUGCAGGAGCUGUUUCAGUGCAAGGUCUGCCUCGUUAGAUCUCAGCACAGGUAAGCCUUCACAUCCUUCUGCUUUAGCAUUGUUCAUGUUUGCAUGCUGCAGUCUUGGAUAUAUUGGUACCAUAAGCACGGCUGAGGAGCCUAUCACAACUCCUCAUUCUUGUAGGCUUUCCUCUCCGAUUGGGUAGCAUGCAGGAAGAGGAUUUUGAUCUGUUCUUUUUCUUAGAUCGGUUGCACACGAAAACUACACCCAUAUAUCAUGAGAUCUUCAGGAAAUCUCAAACAAAUAGAAAGGUAUACGACUUGUCGAUGAUCAAACCGAACCGCAAGCCAUAAAUCUAGCAAUUGAAUUUGAUCAAUCUUUUCUUCUUUAAUCUGCCGAACAUGACUGACAAAUCACCGUAGUCUAUCAUUGGUUGUACUAAUCACCAAAUUGUUGUCUCACUUGGAUUGGCAUCGAUCAACCAGAUACUGCAGCGACCUUUAUCCGAAGUCCGAGUCAUACCGAGCAUGCAAUUGGUGUCUAAGAGAUGGAGGAGCAAAAGGUCUUGCGGGAGAUGCCAAAAGGUCAACCUCUUCCUGCAACGCCAUGGACCGUCGAAGCAGCGGCAGUACUGGCACAGGAGUCAAGGUCCACCGUCAGGCUUCUCCGUCACAGCUGAGCAAGCCCAUCAAGAAGCUGAGACUGCUGUUGCAUCGAUCGGCGUCGGACAUAACCGAUCGCAUGCGGUCGGAAGAGCUUUCGCCCAGCUUCGGUAGGGGGAGGCAGGUCGCCAAGGGAAAGAUCAGAAGGUACAAACUCUUGGAAGAGGUCCCGAGCUAAUCUGCACACCAACCUAUGGCAAGUACGUAGUACGUGUGCGCGAGAAAGGAAGGACGGCUGCUUCUGCUGCAUUCAGCUGUAUUAUCUUAUAUUAUCUGCAAGUGUACAACUCUUUGGCUCUCAAAAAUGCAUUCGAAGUUUCAAGACAUGCAAUAAAGAUACGAUGGGAUGUAUUGUCUAAUCUAAUAGGUUGGAGAACUCGAUCUCUGUGGUCUGCGCUGCUCUCUGAGGCUUUACGGUAUGAGUGUCUCAGGACAACCAUUAGGAGCAUAUCUUCUUACCAUAAGGAAAUAAAAGGUGCAUGAUGUGAUGAAGGACAAACAUUUGAUGAUUCCUGAUAAGGAAGAAGAUAUAGAUAUUAGAAUGAUAAGUAAUCAAUUUAUUCUUAGGUUUUAGCGGGGAAUAGAGGAUGGGAGAAAAUGUAAAAGAAAUUCUUCAAAAUUUACAUAGACGGAUAUAUAAGAGUUGAAAUUAACUCAACGGUGUUUAUAUUUGAUUUGAUAUGAUAAAAAAAAAUUUAUUUUUUUUAAUGGACGUACAAGAGGAGUACCCAACCAAUUUCAUUCUAUGAUAACAUAGGGUUGUUGGAGUAAACAACCUGGAGCCGUGGCCUCGGGGCCGACGCGGCUCGGUUCGGGUCCGGACGACAGGGAUCUCCUUGGGGCAUCCCUCGAGCCCGCCGAGGUGGUCGCGCUGAGGUGGUCCGAUCAGGACGGGGUGGCCACUUCCUCCGGGCAGGAGCUUCUCGCCUGCGAGUCCCGCGGGGACCUUCGGCUCCGCACCUACACAAAGGUCGGGUCGGGAAGCUCGAACCGACCCCUCCAACGAUCAAGUUAGAUGAUUGUGGAGGGGGUUUCAGAUGAAGAAGUGUUUUUGUGUGUCUCUCCCUCCCGCUUUCCAUUCAGAAUGCGAGGGUAUUUAUAGGGAAGCUUACUGUUUCCUGAUGUGCCCGCUUGUAGAGGGUAGGCUGGUAGCAUCUGACACCAACGUUGGCGUGGCGUGAGGAACCGAGCAUGGGCAGGCGUUAAUGCGCCUCGGCCGAUGUUCUAGUCCGUUUGACCAGGUGUUGUCGCGUUGAUCGAGGCAUGAGGCGUCAUCUAACGUCAGCCGAGUCUUAUCAUAAUUACUAUCCUCAUCAUAUUUCCCCCCGGAAAUAAGCUAUGCGUCGGUCGUUGUAACGGGAGUCCGAGGCAUGGCUUCAGCUUUCAGGCGGGCUGGCCGCGCAAGCACGGUCUCGGGGAGCAUGGAGCCGAGGGGCACGACGCAGGAGGGCUGGCCGCGCUGGUGUGUCUUAGGGAGCAUGGGACCGAGGAGCUGAGGAGCACGACGCAGGCGGGCUGGCCGCGCAGGUGUGAUCUCGGGAAGUAUAGAGCCGAGGGGCAUGAAGCAGGCGGGCUGGCCGCGUAGGUGUGUCUCGGGGAGCAUGGAGUCGAGGAGCAUGAUGCAGGCGGGCAGGCCGCGCAGGUGUGGUCUCGGGGAGCAUGGAGCCGAGGAGCACGACGUAGGCGGGCUGGCCGUGCAGGUGUGGUCUCGGGCAUCAUGCGACCGAGGAGCACGACGCAGGCGGGCAGGCCACGCAGGUGUGGUCUCAAGCAUCAUGCGGUCGAGGAACACGACGCAGGCGGGCAAGCCGCGCAGGUGUGGUCUCGGACAACAUGGCCGAGGGGUGGCUCGGGUGGCAGGUCGCCCUAAGGGGGGCUCGGCAAUCUACGGCCGAGGGAUAUGGCAAAGGCCGAGGGACACGGCUCAGGCGGGCAGGCCGCCCUGAGGUGGACUCGGCAGUCUACGGCCGAGGGACACGACCUAGGCGAGCAGGCCGCGCUGAGGUGGACUCGGCAAGGACACGGCUCAAGCCGAGGGACACGGCUCAAGCGAGCAGGCCGCGCUGAGGUAGACUCGGGUAGUCUACGGCCGAGUCAUGUAGAUUCAUAAGGGUUUAAGUCGGGGCUAACCGCAAGCCGAGAGGUGGUCAAGCAGAUACUGAACCUUCGUUCGGAAGAAACUGAGGCAGGGCUUAGAUUUCUUUUCAUGAGGACUACAUCGGGUAGCCACCGCGGGUGCUUGACCUCUCUUAUGGAGCCCGCGGUCGAAAGUCGUCCCUUCUCCUCACGGUCGCCCAGGCCUCCGCUGUGAUGUACCGGUUAGCUCACUGGAGCAUCUCUGGCACCGUGGUGGGAGGUCGCUCUGUGAGGGACCAGAGGAAUCUGGAAGGUCACAGGCCUAUCAUAAACGCCUGCACUAACAAAGAGGGGUGAGUGUCCGAUAAACCUCGGAUUUGCGUGGCAAAGCGAUCCACAAAAUGUGAGAGGGGCUCGUCCUCCCUCUGUUUGAGUAUGAUGAGCAAUGCCGCGGAGGGCUUUGGUCAUGCAUAGGCUACGAAGUGGAGCUUGAAGUCAUUGGCGAGCUGGUCGAAGGAAGCAAUCGUUCCGGUCUUCAAGCCGCCAUACCACGCGUGGGCCAGCCCUCUAAGAGUGGUAGGAAAUGCUCUGCACAUCAGGGCAUCAGAGGUUUCGUAUAGCGCCAUUUGGGCGUGAAAAGCGGCUACGUGGUCCGCCGGGUCGGCGGAGCCAUCGUAAGCAUCCAGCGAGGGGAGCUGGAAGUCCAGGGGGACUGUCAAAUCCCGUAUCUCGGGCGUGAAGGGAGACCCUUGGUGUGCCUCCUCCCCGAGCUCUCCCUUGGACCUGCGAACCUCUUUCUGCACCUUGUCGAGUCGCUGGCUGACGAAGCGCAACUGGGCCCGCAGGAAAUCCGAAGAGAGUGCCUCGGGUUCUGGGCGGUCGCUCGGGUUUGCCAUCACUGGAUCCCCGAGUGGGGCCGGUCGAACCCGAGGCGAAGUGGGCGCCUUGCGUUGUCACAGUGGUUCGAUUGCCGACGGGUGCGCCGACUGAGAAACGAGCGAGAUAAUGGUUUGCACCAUUUCCAUCAGAGCUUGGACUUGACGGGCGAGGUUCUGAAAGGCCUUGGAUGACACGGGCAUUGAGUCGGCUAGGGCGCUGUCGGGCGGCGACAAGCCCGGGUCGUUGAAUAUUCGCCAAUAUCGUUCGGAGGUCGUGGCAGGUUGUUCGUCACGAUGGUCUCCGUGAGGGGGAUGUUCCCCCGAGGCUUGGGUCGGGUGUGACCUCUCAACCGUGGACUCAUCUGAGCCGCUCGGGUGAUCACCCGACAUUCCGGGCCCUCCUUCUAGCGCCAAAAUGUUGGAGUAAACAACCUUGAGCCGUGGCCUCGGGGCCGACGCGGCUCGGUUCGGGUCCGGACGAUGGGGAUCUCCUUGGGGCGUCCCUCGAGCCCGCCGAGGUGGUUGCGCUGAGGUGGUCCGAUCGGGACGGGGUGGCCGCUUCCUCCGGGCAGGAGCUCCUCGCUCGUGAGUCCCGCGGGGACCUUCGGCUCCGCACCUGCACAAAGGUCGGGUCGGGAAGCUCGACCCGACCCCUCUGACGAUCAAGUUAGAUGGUUGUGGUGGGACUUUCAGAUGAAGAAGUGUUUUUGUGUGUCUCUCCCUCCCUCUUUCUGUUCAGAAUGCGAGGGUAUUUAUAGGGAAGCUUACUGUUUCCUGAUAUGCCCACUUGCAGGGGGUAGGCUAGUAGCGUCUGACACCAACGUUAGCGUGGCGUGAGAAACCGAGCCUGGGCAGGCGUUAAUGCGCCUCGACCAAUGUUCUGGUUCAUUUGACCGGGUGCUAUCGCGUUGAUAGAGGCGUGAGGCGUCAUCUGACGUCAGCCGAGUCUUAUCAUAAUUACUAUCCUGGUGAAAGAUCUUCUUCUUCGAUAAAGCUUAGCAAGAAUGACAAAAAAAAAAAGAGUAACGAAUACUCAUUGAGAUUAUGAAUUCAAAUAUGUAAAAAGUAUUUUGUUAUUUAGGAUUUAUUUAUUCUAUAAAAUACUUCAUAUAUCCUAACAAAACUUAACUACUAAUCAUAAAUAAAGAUAUACAUAUAUUUAAAUUUAAUUAAAACUAUUUUGUAUAUUAGUCUCAAGGUUGAAAAAAAUACUCAGUCCUAAAUAUUUGAAGCAUUAUGAUUAUUUAUUAUUGUAGUAUAAAGAGUAUUCGAUACAUUCUCACUAGUAAAUAAAAUAUAUAUAUAUAUAGCAAUUUUAUGGCAGUAAAUUUGUGCACACUAAUUUUAAAAAGUACGUAAUAUUUUUUUCAUCACUAAUAAUAUAAAUAUUAUCAUUUUGCAUUUUACAAUCGUAACAAUAAUAAGAAUGGAAGUAUUAAUAUAUCUCACGUGAGUAGCACGGCGAAUGGGUAACGAGCACGCGUUUCCUUGGAGAACGCUGUCCUUCGGGCGAUAUCCUUCGGGCCCCAUUCGGACACCUUCCAACCCUCCAUCGAAUCCCUUUGGAUCGAUCUCCGCAGGAAGCGAAUCGCAGCAGCAGAUAUCGCGAUUCCAGAAGGCGCGCCGCCGCGAUGGAUACCACCGCCGAUCACGGCGGCAAGAAGGGCCCCGACGGCGACCGUUCCGCCAGCUACGCCCCCUACCCAAAACUCACCCCGGAAGACAUCGCGCCGCCCCCCGCGGCUGCCACCACCAUGCCGCCCGAAUCCAACCCCUAUGUCGUCCCCUCCGCCGCUUCAUCCUCCUCCAACAGUACGAUCGGUUUCCUCUCUCUCUCCCUCAGUUUAGAUCAAUUGGGUUGCCCGCUCGGUCCUCGUUUGAAGGAUUGGAAUCUGUUGAAUAGAUACGAUGGACACGGUGCGCGUUGUGCUCGAGAAAUUUGGGAAGAAGGUCAAUGUAGCAGCGAAGAAAACGGAGGAUUUUGCCGGGGAUUUUUGGCAGCACUGUAAGUAGUAAGAUUCUGCUGAUUUAUCUUUCUUAGGAGGUGAACCAUGUACUCUGUUCUUUGACCAUUAAUUAGGUCUAAGAAAUAUGGCGAGAGGAUUACAAGGAACUUUCAUAUCAGUUCUGUGAUGCACUUUUAAGGCUGUCUCCGAUCUGGAGUUGAGAGGAGGUGACUCUUUGGUUACAGUUUUCACUCUGAAUAAACACCACCAAGUUAGUAGCGCAAAUUACUAAAUGUUCCACUUUCUCUACCAAUCUGAGAAUAAUGAAUUAGGGGAACACUUUGGUUUGUAGAUCUUUAGAUAAAAUCUGUUACCCUAAGAUACUGGAAUGUUGAUAAAGAUCAUUUUGGACAAUGCUGAUACAAAGUUCCCGUGACAAGUGAAAUGUGGGAGAAAGUUGGCAUCAACAAUCAACUGUGGGUGACUUAGGAUUACACCUGUAUUCUAGCCUACAUGUAUUUCGAUAGAAUUCAGAUAGAGAUGAGGGAAGAGGAUCAUGAAAUGGUUGGGGGCAUGAAUUAGUUUUCUGCUCAGGUUGAGGAUCGGUCGCUGCGACAAACAUAAAUAGGUUAUUUGAUUUAUCUGGAAUAAGGAUAGAAAAUCAACAGACAAAUAGAAAACGUAUACUCAAAUAAUAUUUUUAUAUUAUAUUGAUUUGGGGAUAUUUGAUGCCUAAAAUCUGUUGGAAUUUUACAGACCAGCUGAUAAGGGUAGUAAGGUCUGUGCUUGAUGUCCUUGCUUUUGCUUACUUUAUCAAGCAUGAAUUGGCUUCACAGUUAUGUUAAUGCAUUAUCGUGCAGGUCCGGUGACUGUGUGCCGUCAAGAUCUAUGAUCGAUUCUUGUUAUGCAUGCCCUUGUUUCCGUUUCCAUUUUGGUAUUUUUAAUUUUUUCUGUUUGUGAUUAUUGAUAUAAUAUUUUUCCUUGUUUCAGUGAAAACAGGACCUAGCAUUGCUGAUGCAGCUAUGGGGAGGAUUGCUCAGACAACAAAAGUCAUAAGUGAAGGUGGCUAUGACAAUAUAUUUCAUCAGACUUUCAAGACACUUCCUGAAGAGAAACUUAAAAAGACAUAUGCGUGCUAUCUGUCGGCGUCGGCUGGUCCUGUUAUGGGGGUUUUGUACCUCUCUACUGCUAAACUUGCAUUCUGUAGUGAUAAUCCUCUGUCAUACAAAGUCAGGGAUCAGACUCAAUGGACAUAUUACAAGGUACUUCAUAAUCAUUAGCAUUUGCAACAAAGUUAUAGAGACCACUGACAAGAUAUUGUGCCUUGAAUAUCUAAUCUAAUCCCAAUAAGAUAUUGUGUUUGUUGACAAUUUUUCUUGUAAUUUUAUCUCGAUCUAGUUUGCUCUUGAAAAAGCCUUUCUAUGUUGAUGACCAAGGUUGGAACUUUAUCUUUUGCGCAGAGGCCUGUAUGCUUCAUCCAUCUGUAGCAUCGAUAUCUUUGGCAAAGAAAAAUUCCUAUAUGAUUUAUUGAAUGCUCUUUCUUCAGUAAUGCCUAUACGAUUCAUAGCAUACUUUUAUUCUUGCGGCCCACAAUAUAAAUGUGACCAGUGAUGCUUCAGACCAAAUAUGUUAAUACCCAUGUUCCUAGAUGUCUUUACCUUGACAUUUCCAUAGAAUGUUAUGAUCCAUUGAUAUAGUAAUGAAAUUUAUCAAUCAAAGAAAUUUAUAUGAAGAAUCGAUUAAAUUGACAAUUAACUUGUAUUUUAGGUGAAAUCAAAAAAUUUUCAGUUAUCUAUCAUUGCUGUGCAAGUUUGACUUAUUUGUGUGAUACUUUUGAUGCUUUAGUGUUUUCCAUGAUCAAGCUACUCCUCUUACCGUCAAUUUUAUCCUUCACUAAUUUACUUUUGCCUUCCAAGAGGCAAUUGUCUUGAACACAAUGCAGCUACUCAGAUAUGUUUUGCAUUUGGAAGACAUCAUUGGAGCUUUAAACUUACGCAACAUGAGCAUUCUCAAUAAGAUAGCAACGACAAUAAAAAUGUUACUCUCCUGUCAUAGAUUCUUUUUUUUUUUUUUGCUCUCUCUUUGGCACAAGAUUAUGUCAUCUCUAUGUUUAUAAUUUCACUAAUACUUUUAUGCUGGAGGGAGAAAUAAGAUCACUGUCGGUGGCUGCUCUUCACAUAGAUAACUCUGAUUUUUCUCCUUUUGUCAUCUAUACAGGUGAUAAUUCCUCUGCAUCAGAUCAGAUCAGUUAAUCCAACAGCGAGCAACGUAAAGCUAGGCGAAAAAUACAUUCAGGUUGUUUCGAUCGACAACCAUGAGUUCUGGUUCAUGGGCCUUGUGAACUAUGAUAGUGCUGUCAAAAACCUACAGGAAGCUGUGCAAGAUGCCCGCAUCUAAGUUACUCUGAUCUUUUCUAAACCUGCACUGGCAAUUUUCUUGAAGUUCCGCCUUCAUCAUCAAAAGAAUUUGUUCAUUGUAAAAAAUACCAUGUGUUUGAUUCCUCAUCAAAUAAUCGUUGUUCUCGUUACUAUGAUUCUGAUCAAUUAGUGGUUGUAUCAUGCUCAUUCUUGUCAAAAAAAUCAUUGUGCUUCAGAGGCAAUUUCUGCCGGUUUGUCAUCAUUUAUAACAGCCCGACCACUUCUGAUUCAGACAUCUAAACUUUUAUACUCUGGCGAAGUUAUCACAUCUAACAUUGCAUUCUUGAUAUAUAGAAGCCAUAAUUCAUAUCAUUUGAUACAUUUAUCAUUUCAAAAUAAGUCACCAAGAAGAUCUAAUUAUGAAGCAAAAUCAACAUAACUGUGACCUAUCUACAAGACUCCUAAUAUCGGUAGGACAAAUAUUAUUAUUCGAUAAGAUCACCAUAUUCGAUCAAUCAGACUAGGCAUAUCAUGUUAAUAUUUUCUCACCAAGUAAUUUAAUAUAUUUUUAAUUCACUAAAUUCGAAUGCCUUAUGAGGAGGGGUUUUUUUCUUUUUUAGGACGAGUGUUUUAUGUCGUUAGAAUAAAUUUUGUGAUAUGGAAUAUUGAUCAAAUUAAUAUUAUACCUAUUAUAAUCAAAAUCAUAGGAAAAUUUGUUCCAUGGUUAACCCACACCAAUGAUCAAUGUACUAAUUGGUCAUGUCAGUAGCAAGUUAAAUCAGUGAGCUGUUCCAUCCAUCCCUAAGAUGAUAGGUGUUACACUCUAUAGGCCCCCAUGCAGAAUAUAAUUAUGAGGUUGAGAAGACAAUAACAAUUAGGAAUGUGAUUGACUGGGUUGCUGAUUGACACUAAUUUUAUUCUCUGCUGCAUCCUCCUCCAAUUUGGUGUCACCACUUGUACAGGCACAAUCAUGCCAGGUUCUGCCACCAAAUAGGUGUGGCCAGAUCAACAGGGAUUUGGAAUCAUUACCUGCGGUACAAAUUGAACACCUCCCUAUCAUCCUUCCUGUCAAUCACACACAUCUUUCAUUUCAUGCAUGAUUCAUGUACUGGUGCUACUGUAGAUCGCUCCAUUUAUAAUGAACAAAAGCAUAUGGGCACCUCUACCGAUUUCAACCUCACCAAAUGCAUUCUAUCAAACAUUUAUUAUGCACAACACUCUAUCGAAAGCAGCGGUGGUAAAAUCAUUGCGUUCUUUUUCCUUCUUUAAGUUUUGUUCAUUAAAAUUCAAUCUCCAAAGAUGAUAAGAAGCCUAUUGAAUAUGCUACAUCAAUCUACGCUCUAAGUGUCUACCUAAACACUUUUCCCAAAUAUGAUGACUCGAAAGAAAGAGGGGUAAUAAAUCGAAUCAAUUUUGUUGUGUUGGAUUGAGGACGAAGAUGGAUGGCAUGAAGAUCCGGCUGUGGACCAACCGCAUCGAACUACACUCUGGACAACAAACCGAUCUCAUUUCUGAUGAGGGCGAUCUGUAUCUGCCCAAAUUCUACUACCAAACACAUGCCUCGCUAGGGUUUGUGACUGCUAGUUUCAGAAGCAUCCCUAAGGGCUGUGCAAUCCCCGUACACGAAAAAGGCAUCGUGUGCUGGAAUCACAGGCCAAUCAUUCCACCAUGUGGGCUUGGAAACGAUACAAAACCCUAACCCUAGGGCACCAUAAACAACAACAGUUCAGAGCGAACAAGAAAUCAAAAGAAACAGAGAGGAGGAGCACAAAAUUGGGUGGAGGCAUACAUACAUUCCUAGGCACUCUGUGCUGGACAAGGGUACAGGUGUUUCUUGGCAUCUGGUGGUGUUCACGGCAGCAGCAUAUGAUUUCGGUAGAUGGAAUAUGUUGACCAUCCACAGAGCGAACGAGCGAGCGAGCGAGCGAGCGAGAGAAAGAGACGGUUGGCGUUGUGAUCGCAUCAGGCUCCUCUUUUCCUUCACUGUCCUGUCACCCCGCUGCACGUGAUUUCGUCCCUUCCACGCCCAUCCUCUUAUCUUAAUCCAACAUACAUAUAUAUGUAAAUAAAUAAAUCGAGAUAAAUUAUUUUCUAUUAGAUAAAAUGAUCUUAAGGGACAUAAUCAAACUACUGUGAUCGAUCGAGUAUUUAAUAAUUAAUUUUAAUUUACUAAAAAAAAUUGGGGAUCGGAUGGAGUCAAAAUGUUGACUGCAGUUCAACUUUGACCUCAUCAAAUCCCAUUGAUCGACUGUUCCACGCCUAUGUCUUCAAAGACGUUCGCGGAAAGCUCGACCGAGUGGGGCCGCACCGUCGUAUCCGCGAGCGCGUGGUGGGUGGCCGAGUCGGGGCUGGCGGAACGAGUGCGUCAGCCGCACGCAUGAAAUCACGGCCGCACGUUUGCCCUCAUCUCCCUCCUCCCACCUAACCCAAUUCAAAUUCCUUAUAAUAAUAAUAAUAAUGUACAAUACAAAAAGGAUAAUAAUAAUUGUGGUCGGAAAAAACGAGAGAAAAGAGAGAGGCGAAACGUACAUGCAGACAUGAUGAUCACUGUUCCCCUAAUUUCUAGGGUUGAUAAGGGGGCCUAUGUGCCAUGGAGACCAGACUUGGGUACCUCUAUAUCAUUAAUAAUUUCCCAAAAGCAUGUGGGUAUAUCAACCUCGAUUCCCAUGAUCCCAAUAAUUAUACAUCUUUUAUGGUCAUCAUAACUUUAAGAAAUAUUCUUGUAGCGUUGAUUUGGGCACGGAUUACUCGAAUUAUGUUGUGGCUUUUAUGUCCCGCGAGAACAUCGGGGAACAGGAGGCAUCCGCCGAGUCCAACGCGACGCUGAUUCAGUCAAUUUCGAGGCACCCGAAACUAGUUCGACAAAAUUCCCCGGUGGCUGCCUUCGCCUGCCCGCGGAAUAAAAUACGCCAGAGAUUCUCAUGCCGACAUCAAGCUCGAGGCUCACGUAGAGUCCCGUCAUUAGCCUACUAAUAAUCUAUGGAGAUUAGAGGUGUUGUUUAGUGUUAUAUAGCCUUGUGGAAUGGCAGAAGCAGCAGAGAAGAAGAAGAAGACAACGUGGACAAGAAUUGAAAGAUUUGGGUGGCAAUUCGCGAGGCGAACCGCCCAGUCCGUCGGGUUUGGUGGGCGUUUUGACCCUGUCAAGUUAGGAUGGCUCGCUUGGCGCGUCAUGGGUGACAUCGGCUGUGUUGGUUCCGGGGCGAGUCCGCGGGUAGGUGAGACCACGGGGCGAGGAGGCGAAAGGCGGGUCCAGCAUGGGGCCCAUUAAGCGAGGCAGGUAGGCGAAUAGGGGAGAGGGUACGUUUCCGACCAACCCACGUGACAAAAGCUGUGCCCUUUGGACGGGUGGGAAUCACGCGGGAUCCAAUACGUCUUGCAAUAAAAAUCUGCCGCGUGUCACUACGAAGCUCGAUCCUGUUCGAGACGGGGACAGCCGAUCCCGUGAUUUCGAAUCGGAGGCUGGAGUUAGUAGUACUCGGCAGAGACAAGGGAGUUGGCUUGGCUGUGGGGAGGCCGCCACGAGCCACCGAAUCACAUAGGGGUUGGAGGAAGCCAUAGGUUCGACAGGGAAAGAAACAAAACCCCCCACCCCCCCCCCCCCUCCCCUCCGUCCUCCAGUGUCCAAACCUAAUAGCUUUUCCUUAGGGAUGAUAAUGACAAAACAUGGUAGCUCUUGUUCUUGGUGCAUCAAGCUCUCGUCCCACCCAAGGGUGGGGAGUCGUGGCCUCAACCUGCUGCAUGAGCUUCGCAUGAGAAUCCAGAUCUGCUGCACCCAGCAAUCGACAAAACCAUUAAUCAUCUUCAUCACAUCCGCAAAAGAUUUGUUCCGGAUGCAUAAUCUUACCCCUCGCAUGCUGAAAAUGAAACAAUGGGGUCGGCCUUCGUCUUCUCAUCUCAGCAGCUGCAGCAGGAGGAGGAGUACACGCCUCAUCGGCGGACGACGACGAAGGCGGCGGCGGCGGCGGCCCUCAGAUCAUGAUCCGACAGCAGAUCCUACACGAUCCGCCCGCGAUUCUGUAUGGCGACAUCUUGUACUUGUCCGGGGGAUUAUAAAUCCUUGGCGGUCAGCUAAUCCGACCGCGGCGAGAAUAAUCGGCAGGGGCGGGACCACCGACAGUGUGCGUCGUCGACAUCGGCAACUCCACAGUGGGUUGAUUACAAUCUUGUCCGGGGCUGCAAAUCGAGUAGGCGCAGGGCAUCAGGUGACGACGACGCCUACUGGCCAUUACAAAACUCAUCCUCAAUUCUGCUCCUCUUCCCCGGUAGGCUUUGUAGGGAGAGCAACGACAGAGCUGAUGCAGUGUCAUCGAUCUUCCAUGGAAUCGCGUGAACAGGGGGGAUUAUCCAUGGCCCGAGCUCGUCUUCUCCCCCUCCCUUUAAUUAAGUGGCAUGCACAGGUUGUACUUGUACUAAUCCUGGUUUUAGCUGGCACCGUGGUGGGUUUUGUCCAAUGUCAGGUUGGUUUCUAGUGAAACCACUGCUGUGCCGCUGAUUGCACCGGCUCCAGUAAUACUGUUCUCGGAAAUCAGAGAUGCCAGCAUCGUCAUUGUUGUGAGCUGAACCAGAAGAAAGCAGAUGUCGAUCGAUUAGAAGAUUAUAUGUAAAACAUGUAACAAGCCAAUAUGCAUGAUUGAGAAUGAGAGUUAGAGAUAACACUCGAGGAGGAAGGACAAGUGAGAGAGGAGUUGUACCGGCUCAAGCUAGGAGGUAGAGAGAAGCUCACAUGAGCUCUAAAUCCUACUGACCUCGCAUCACUCUCACUGCAGACCAGCGGAAUCUCUGACCCUGUUCAAUUCUUUCACCCUCACCAUCUCAGCAUCUCAUUUGUGAUCUCACCAGGACCCUUUUAACCCUUCCUCCCUGUUCUGGAUCUACCAGCAGAUGAAACAAAACCACUGACUCACGGUGGCCCUUUGAGUUUUCUUUCUCCUAUCCAUCCAUCAACCAGAAAAUAAAAAAGGGAUGGGGGGGGGAUGAGAGAUGAGAGAAAACAUGUACUUCCCCUCUUCUGCUUCUCACGUGGUAAGUUCAGAAUUAUAUAUGUUUUCUUCUUACUUACCUUUGGGCCUUUAAAACCCCACCCUUUCCCUCCUCCUCCUCCUCCUCCCACCGAGACACAGAUGUGCAGUGCCUGUGUGUAAACGAAUCUGUGAGAGAGAUGGCACUAGAAGCUGUGGUUUUCCCUCAAGACCUCUUCAACUAUGCUUUCAAGGAGUGGUGCGCCAACACCGGAAGUGGAGGAGGAGCAUGGGAGGAGAAAAGUAUGGUGUUAGAAUGUGAGAUGGCCGGAGGUGGAGGUGGAGGUGGGACCUGGGACCCAACCUGCUCCUCCUUGGCACGGAAUCUCCAGGAUUGGAAUGUGAAUUCCUCGACGCCGACAGCAGCCGGUGCGCCCGCCGGGGCGGGGGGCCGGAGAAAGAGGCGGCGUACGAAGAGCAUCAAGAACAAAGAGGAGGUGGAGAGCCAGAGGAUGACCCACAUUGCCGUGGAGCGCAACCGCCGGCGACAAAUGAAUGAAUACCUCGCUGUGCUCCGCUCUCUGAUGCCGGCUUCCUAUGUCCAAAGGGUAAUCCAUUCACAUCUUCCGCACCGUCACUAAUGCAUCCAAUCUCAUCAAGACCAUUCACUGGUUGUUGAAUGAUAGGGUGAUCAAGCAUCGAUCGUCGCCGGCGCGAUCAACUAUGUCAAAGAACUUGAGCAGCUCCUUCAAUCACUGGAAGUCCAGAAACGGGUCAAGCAACAAGCGGAUGCAGCCGGCGUUGCCGCCGCCUUUGCCGACUUCUUCAGCUUCCCCCAGUACUCCUCUUACUCACCCAGUGGCGGCACCACCGCCGGAGACGGUAGUGGCAUAAUUGACCAUGAUAGUAUCUUCCGAAACACCGAGGAGAUCGAAGACGACGAAGCAGCCGCCGCAAACAUCGAGGUGACGAUGGUGGACAGCCACGCAAACCUCAAAGUGCUCACGAGGCGGCGGCCGAAGCAGCUGCUCAAGCUGGUGGCCGGGCUGCAGAGCUCGCGGCUCCUGCCGCUGCACCUCAACGUCACCUCCGUCGACCAGAUGGCCAUGUACUCCUUCAGUCUCAAGGUACGCCGGACUCCACCUCCUUCCUCCUCGCCGGACCAUUUGCCAGCCUGAUGGAGUUUGUGUGCUCAUCUCUGCGACGCCUGGCUUUGAUCCGCAGGUGGAAGAUGACCGUCACCACACGUCGGUGGACGAGAUUGCAGCAACAGUGCAUCAAAUGUUAGGCAGGAUUCAGGAGGAGGCAAAACUGUAGAAUCUCUGUUGUCUUCUUGUAGCAUGGAAAAGGGUGUUGAUUGCAUGAAAUAAUCUGGCCUUGUGAUGUGCAGCAGCAGAAACUCCUGUUCACCAUGAGAUCUGCUAUUGAUGAUAGCCUGAGUAUGCUCUCUGCUUGGCCAAAAAAAUAUCUUCGACAGUCUCACUGAGAACACCCAACACAACGAGAACUCGGUCAAAGGCUGUGAAACAGAGGAUCUUUGCAUCUGAACAUAAGCUUUUAGAAUUUUCCUUGGAUUGUUUUUCCUUCAUUGUAUCUGCUUUUGAUUUCUGAGCUGCCACCAAAACCACAUCAGAUCCAAUUAUCUACCUUAUUGGUUAAUUUUUCUAGCUACAUAGAUUCACAUAAAAUCCUACGAAACAAAUUAACUUAGGUACUCAACCAGAAUGUUAGAAUGAUCUUAGCAACUAUAUUACAACACAACACUAGAGGAAUCUUUCAAGAGCUCGAAAGUCUCUCUAUGUGCUGGAAGCAUAUGGAGAAGAUGGAUGGCCAUAAAUUACAUAACCAAAGACAGCUACAUGCUUCAGUGGCAUUCAGAAGGCGGAGAAAAGAAGAUACAUAGUUUUAGACAAGUUUCAGAAAGAUGAUAGUACCAAUUUCAGCAGUCUCUGGUCAUGUGGAUUUUUCCUUUCUUUUGUUUGAUGCAAGGACGAUCGCAAAGGGGCUGAAGCAAUGAUUCAAAGGUGAAGAAACCUACAAGACAUUUCACAUCAUGUAAGUGUUUAAAGCUAUAAAAGAGUACUGCAACAUAAUAUUUGCCCAAGUAUUUACUGAUGGGGAGAGAGAGAGAGAGAGAUAGAGAAAAGGAGGAACAAGGAGUCAUUUCAUGACUGAUUUGGCUUCCGAUGGAUGUUUGAGCUGACCAUGUUGGCAAAUGGCCUCACAAUUGUUCACAUGUUGCUGAUGUGCAUACUGUCUGAUUCUGUUCCCUGGCACACUUCAUAAUACUGGAGAUCCAACGGAGGCCGAGGCAAUCCUAAUCGCUGUCCAAGCCACAAGCAAGAACAGCUGCUUGUCAGCUGAUCGAACAUGGAAAGGUUUGGUGCCUCUCCAUUGUGUCAGCAAGAACCUAAUAGUACUGUACCAACUCUAGUUGCGCUGUGUAGGGAAUAUAACUGUCAUGCUCAACUGAUAAAAAUUGCAUCUCCUCUACUUCAUAGCAUGCAUGAUGACAUGCAAAUCCAGUGAUUCAAAUACCUGUCACUUUAGCUCUUUCUGCAAAGAUGUUGUUGCAGCUAAGUCGAAACUUUGACAACCAAAUCUCAUGAAUCCUUUUUGAGAUUCUAAAACUGAUUAGUAGAACUUCAAAUUUUAACUAGCUACAUGAAAACAAGUGACUAGCAAAAAUAUUUCCUAAAAAGUGCAUGGAUUCUAAACCAAGAAGACUAGAAUGUAUGAGAAUACUAGUGUAAAGUCAUCUAAAUAACCAGAGUGUAAAUAUAUUUUCAGCAUGGUAUAUAAUUACCAGAAAAAUACAAGAACAAGUACCUCAGGAUCAUCUUAGUCAAGAGACGAGAUUGUGCACAGAACAAUCAAUACAUAGCUACUUUUUGAUACAUCUGAACAACCAAUAUAUAUUCAAUACAAAGUUACACUAAGCGAAGCUGAAGAUUGAAAAGAGCAAAACUGAGUUCAUCUCUUGGUUGGUGGUCUACUAAGUGGGAACUUACAAGCUUCAACAAUGUAACUUUUCAAGAAGCAACAACAUGAGCCACUCACAAGAACAGCAGGCAGAUUAUCUUUUUAAGAUGUUACCAGAAAAACACAAGGACUGCAUCAUGUAACAAGAUGCACCUUGGCUGAAAUUUCAAGCUACUUUAAUAUGCCAGCUUCAAAAACACAAGGACUGCAUCGUGUAUCACUAAAGUGAAGAACCCAUAUAAAAUUCAGAACAGCCACAUGCUCUUUGAGUUGGCAUAAAGAAAAGAUAAAGCCACUCCGUAUUGGUGUUAUGUAGUCAAGGUUUCAAAACCAAUCACAUCUGUCAUAAGUAAAAUGAUCUGAAGCCUACAUGCAUAGAACAGCAUCAACGGCCUUUAUAUAUGCAUGGUUAAAAAAACUGAGGUACAAGUAUGAUUUCACCAUCGAAUGUGAAAUAACUUAAUAAAGACAGAGUGAAUCUAGACAUCCAACUCGCUGAAGAUGGAGAGGUACAAUAGGCGUCCUGAAAAGGCGGCAGAUAGUCACCCACCGGCCUGACCUGGUGGCCCCCCCUGGGCGGUAGAAAACAAAGAGGUGGCUGAACAAUGUUAAUUGAUCCAUGCAUUCCCCUAGUUUAGAUCAAACCAAAACAACUUGAAUGGCAACAGGAUUCAGUGGAGGAAACCAACAAAGUUAUAGGAGGAGAAAGUCAAGCCUGAUUGAGAUAUAGGAUAUAAUCAAAUAUGGUAAUGGGCCUGCUCAAUCGGUAGUUGAAGAGCAUUAUUAGGACCUGUCAUUAAAAGAAUCGAUACUUCAAUCAUGCUUUCGAGCUGUACUGGCACCAGAAUUUGGGUCCUGAGAAUUGUAGUCAGAACUGCAUUUUCUUGUCCCACACAUAGCCCUCUUUCAACAAUUUUAUCUCACUGACCUAAUAAAAUAUCUUUACGGUUGGAUAUAAAUUUAUGUCCAUAAGGCUCCUAAGAAUAUGUAACUGCUUUUAUUGUGAGGAACGAACAUACCUGGACAAACAAUAAAACAAGGAAUUCUUGGGAACCUUACAAGAUUAAGAAGCCUCAAAACAUCUCACUGACCUAAUAAAAUAUCUUUACGGUUGGAAAUAAAUUUAUGUGCAUAAGGCUCCUAAGAGUAUGCAAGUGCUUUUAUUGUGAGGAACAAACAUACCUGGACAAACAAUAAGACAAGGAAUUAUUGGGAAUCUUACAAGAUUAAGAAGCCUCAAAACACUAUACGCUUGUUAUCCAAGGGUACUGAAUGUUGCUGAUGCAGAAAGAUGAUCAAUAAACAACACAGCAUCAUCUAAGACUGGACAGGACAUAAAAUUAUUUUGGAGAAACUUUAUAAAAGCUUGAAGAAUCUGAACCAGAUACGAAAUGGCCAAGUCAAACCUUCCAAAAGGACAUAACUGGAUGUCAAUAUGCAACAUGUUUUCUGGUACCUUCCAAUUAGAUGAAUAUGGUUUUAAAUUUUGAUUUGGUUUGAUCAGCAAAGCAUCUUCAACAAAACUCAGCAAUAUAACGCCAUCUUGAAGACCAGGUAAAUUCUAAGUUUACAUCGUCGUAUAAAGAGAAAAAGGCACUGGUUAUUCUAUCAGAUGCAGUAUUCAAGGAGCUAACGCCCAUAGAAACCUACUUGGAAAAGUUAGCCUACUUCUUCCACAAUCAGCAUCAGAAGCAAACAGUUACAAGCCACAUAAUCAAUUAUACUGAACCUUAAGGGUAUUAUAGGGUUGAUCUCCAUAAUCCAGAAGUGGGAGAAAAAAAAAGAUAAGAAAACCUACAUCGUCGUAUAAAGAGAAAAAGGCACUGGUUGUUCUAUCCGAUGCAGUGUUCAAGGAGCUAACGCCCGUAGAAACCUACUUGGAAAAGUUAGCCUACUUCUUCCACAAUCAACAUCAGGAGCAAACAGUUACAAGCCACAUAAUCAAUUAUACUGAACCUUAAGGGUAUUAUAGGGUUGAUCUCCAUAAUCCAGAAGUGGGAAAAAAAAAAAAGAUAAAAAUUUCUUCAUGAUCAUGAAUGAGAACUUGAUAAAGAAGUGGUAAUAUAAACAUAUUUCUCCAAAGUCCAAACUGAGUUCUUGGUAGCUUAAUGCAACAAUUUUAUUAUCCUUCCAAAGGCAAGAGAGGAUACGUUCCUCUACUUGCUUUCAAUUUAUAAAAUCAUUAGGAGAUCAAAUUACCAUGAAUCUCAACUUGAAUAGAUUUUCUAGAUUCAACUAUUAUGAUAGAGGGUCAAGCUUGCCAAAAAUAAUACUUAUACAACUGAGGGACCAAGUACAUAUUUCAUGAAGUAUACACUACCUUAUUUUUCAUGCAGCUUGCAUUUUGAUUGCAGAAUGCAGGCAAUGAUGCUUAGAUGCAUGAAUGUGACCUAAAUGUAUCCAGGGCAAGGCAAUUUACAAUUCCCCGCUAGGGAGACCAAGCAGAUCAAUGGAAAUGAUCCAAUAUAUCUGCAUCAAAUGGCUCACUAACCAUGAAGCCUUUGUGCAAAUGGCUCUGUUUCUCAUUCUAAGAAUAAUGACAUCCUUAUUCCAAUAUCUUUCAUUAUGUACUUCACAAUAUGGUACCCUAUACUUGAUUUAUGAACAUUGUUACUUACACCAAAUAGCAACAUAUUUUAUUGAAGUCCAUAGCAACAUAGUUAAUUUAUGGAAAUUCUGGUAAAGGGUCAACUUAUAAUAACUUUUAUAAUUUGACAAGAACUCCUCAAAUUUUCACAUAUUAUAGCUACUCCUGUGACACAAGUUGUUUCUUGAACAUAUCUCAAGGAUGGAAACUAUAGAUUUAAGUUUUGGUUUGUGCCAAUUUUAUUGUAUAUUGUCGGCAUUGUAAAGAACUGACUCCUGAGAGUGUACAUAUAUUAAUUUAACUUGCUAUGGAACCUGUGUCAGUCAACACAUUAUGUUGGCACAUCAUCAACAUGAACGGUGAUGUGAAUUUUAAUAUUAAAAACUAAAAUAGAAUCACAAAUGAUAAAUAACUAAACUAUCUGCUGGUACUUCAAAGAUAUUUACACUGUAAGAAUACAGAGUAUUUAGUCAAUUAUGAAAGUGACUUCAACAAGUACUAAUUUUGCCAUCAACAACCAGACAUCAACAUCAGUGUUAAACCAUAUUCUAUUGCAUUAACACAACCAAUUAUGCAAAAGUAAAACUAGUAAAUCGCGAUCACUAGAAAAAACUUUUCUCCGGGUCAAUGUAACAGAUAAACGUAGCUUUACUCUCAAGGAAACAUUAUGCAUUAUGACAAUCAAAGUGUAUCCUACACAGAUUCCAAAUAUAUAAAAAUUUAAAAUAAAUGGUCAGCUUAUAGUGAGUGCAGUGAAUGAAAGGAAUGCAGAUGACUAUGUACAUGAAAAUAAUCAGCAACUUAGUCAACCAAAAUAUUACUACACCUAAAAGACAAGCAACAUCUGCAUUUAAACUUGACCUGCCACACAUUUCAACAGCAUUAAGUAUAUACUACAUUAUUUUGUAUAUGUGAUAUUCUACAGUCUACAUUAAUCUAUCAUUUCAUCCCGAGGAUCAUUCAUAUAUAAAUCUUAUCUCUCAUGUUUCUUUAAUAUAUAAUGUGUUUCUAAGCCACAGGAACUAUGUGACAGAACCACCAGAGUCAUCAAGUUAAUUGUGAUCCAUAUGUUUUCAGUGCCCCUGAUGAACGUCCUUCGCUAAGAAAGAAGAAUUAGAUGAGAAAAAAAAUAAGAUUUAAAAUUUUAACAUUAAUAUCAUUUAAGUAAAUACACUGUAAUGCAGUAUGUGGCAGUGUUAGGUACACCUUUUCUGGAACCAACAUGAAGAUUCUAAUUUAGUUCAAAAUGAAAAGUUGAACUGUUCAACUUUCACAUGCUUCAGUUUGGGAGAAAGAACAACUUUGCACUUAUCAAGACAAAAACAAAAAAGAACAUACCUACAAGGGUAAGCAAAGGAGUGAAUGAGAGAGUUAUAGAAGUACUUGGACCAGACCAAAUCAGUAAUUUUUUUUAAAAACCAAAGUACUCGAGAAUAUUGACCAUUCAAUAAUAGUUUCAUACCAAAGUAGAAACAAUUGCUAGCAAAAUAAUGCUAUCAUUGGCUUAUUAAUCACAAUACCUCACUAAUCAGACACUUCAUUGCAUGAAGAGAGCCAAAAGAUUAGCCUCAAAGGAGAAAUUGAUAAUGAUCAUGCCUUAUUUUGGAUGUCUCCCAUAGUUAUUUCAUAUGCACUUAACCUCCUUAUGUGACAAUGCAUUAACAACUGACAUCAGAAUAAAAGGCUUAAUACUAGCAACAAGAAUGUUCCAAACUUACCCGUAAUUUUCACUAGUUUUCAUAUUCCAUGCCAGAGUAAAAAAAUUUAGAUUAACAGUUCUAACUUACCAUUAAGAUAACUGACUUCUUCGCUAAAGUUCUCCAUAAAAUCUGUUCUCAGUAUCAAUAUGUUUGCAAAGGCCUAAUUGUAAGCGAAGGCUAUCGGAAAGCCCACCCUAAAUUAACAGCUUAGAUUCUCCUGUUUUACACUAUCACUACCAUCUAUACACAAGUCUGCCCAGUAAUAAUAUACCAUCCUUUCGUUAUUGUUCCAACCAUUUUCUAUUAGUAUGUUCAGGAAACCUUGGUGAAAAUUGAUACUUUUCAAGAAGCAUCAUGCCAUACCAUAUCAAGGCAUUGAGAAGAAAGGAAAAAGAAACGACGACAGGCUUCUGUAUAUGAAUGUUAGUAGAAACUGGUUUUAAACAAUUUUACUUUGCCGGCAAGUCUACUCCAUACAAAUUACUGGAACAAUUGAUUCCUUGACAACAACCACCAAAUCAUGGAGAACAUGGCACCAACAGUGGUGGAUGAUCACAAGCUUCAUUCCAUAUCACUGGUCUAUUAAACCUAAGCUAUUUCCUGCUAAGUUAAUGUCAACAUGAAACUCAGGUCGAGCAGUAUGCUGCUCAUAAAAUAAGUACAGAUUAGAACAAUUGAGAAGCUACACUUGGUAUGCAGUUCAUUCUCACUAAGAGCAUAAAUGACCAAACUGAUAAUAAUUUUGCCAAAAAAUUAACUCUGCAGUAUGAGCAGAAAACCUUUAACAAAUUCAGGCUAACGGAUACAUGGUGAACAUAGCUAACAUGCACCGACAUCUGCUACUGCCGGAGUGGAUAUCGUUAUUUAGGAUACACGACAAUUCUCAGCUCCAUUUUGCUUUAGCAAAAUAUGUGAUCAGACAAAAGAGAAGGUAAACUAGAAACACUGGAACCAUAAUAAAUGAAUCAAAGCCUUAAGUGCAUUCAUGAGUUUCAUCAUUAGAACAUCCUGCUUCUCCCACAAAUGGAUGAACUACCAAUAGCCACAAUGAAGUAGACAAAGCAUAAAAAAAAAGCCAACAAACUCACUUGAUCAAUUGGCAUCAGAAUCAGUGUAAAGUCCUUUACAUUCUAGACAUAUAUUCACAAUUAUGGACACUUAGCAUCCAAGCAGAUGCUCGACUUACCAAACCUUAUCAUCCAUUUGUUGUGCUGCGAAUUAAACCCAAAACUCUCUUCCAGCCUUAACCAUGACCGAUGCAACAUAUGUGACAAGGUUGGCAUUCUAUAUUUCCGCUCGACACACAGAUACUAGUACAGUGAAGCUCUUAACUAGCAGAGAACCACUGAUAUGUACAAAAAUUCCCCAUGUUAUAAGCUUAAUAACAUACUUCGGUCAUAAGGACUAUUAUAGUGGGAGAACUGAGCUACGAGCUCGCAAGUGUCUCGACAAGAAGAAUUUCCCACUAGCACUCGAUGAAGAUAUUUCAAUUUCUUUCUGUAGGGAAGCAGUGCCACCAGAAGUAUUACCCUCCUUUCUCCAGGUUCUGACAUCCAACACCUCUCUCAGGGCGGGUUCCUUUGUGUGAUCACUAAGACCUUCUUCCAAGUCUGGCCUAUGCAUGGGAUGAGGAAGAGUGAAUGAAUCCAUAGAAAACGAUCGACGAAUAGGUUGGAACCCUUGUUCCCUGACAUCACUAGGCACUUGCAACUCAAAAGUUGGGAUUUGAUCGAUCAUGAUCCGGUUUCCAGCUCCAAACUCCAACGAGUCCCCCUCUGAUUCCACUUCCAAGGCGCCUUGACCAGUGUCCAAUUGCUGGCCAUCGUUUUGAUGGCUAUCCUCUAGAGCAGAGGGGACUGAAUCUAGGGCGGAAUCAGGGGAGGACAAAGCGGAGGAGAAGGAAGGUAGAGUACUCGCUCCAGGCUCGGAAUCGAUGGAGACGGAGGUUGGGAAGACGACGGGCGCACGGCAGAGGGGGCAAUUGACGUGGGAUCGGAGCCAAGUAUCGACACAGGUAAGGUGGAAGGCAUGGCCGCACUUGGGGAGGAGACGAACGAGCUCGCCGUCGCGGAGCUCGGAGAGGCAGACGGCACAGUCAGCGGGGGAUUCCCCGAGGACGCCGUCGUCGGCCUUGUACGCCCACGCGGUGACGGCUCGGAUGGUGGACUCAUCGAGGCCGGUGGUCCUGAUGUACCAUACAUGGUGGUCGAUCUCGACGCCGCCGACGCCGUCCUCAGAGGCACCGAACUGUUCCUCGUCAGCGGCCGCCCUGCGGCGGCGGCAACGGCGAAGGAAGAAGAAGGUUACGAGGAGUAGGAAAGCAGCGGCGGCGAGGAGGGAGGCGGCGGCGAUGGGGAGGGAGGGGAGCAGGGUGGAGUGACGGAAGCGGACGGUGGUGGAGGGUUCCUGAAUGGGAGCAGGGGGUGGGGGCGACGGCGGGAAAGGAGGUUGGCAAAAUUCCAGAUUUCCGCACGAGGAAGAGGACGCGUUGGUUGCCGAGAAGAGGAAGCGAUUUCGGCGCAACGCCAUCGCCCUGCCCAUCCACAUCCAACGCAGGCGCAGCUAGAAGACGCGACGAUGACGACGACGGCGAAGAUAUAGGACGCCGGGGAGUCGUAGUUACUUGACCUACCACUUUUGGGAGAGAGAAAGAGGGGUGAGAAUUUGAGAGAGAGAAAAGAAGAAGAAGAGAGUCACGUCCACGAGAAGGUGGGGCAGCGGUUCGGUGGUCACACGGACCCUGAAGGGAGCCACCCAUGGAACCCGCACGAUAGCGAAUGGUGAGCCGGGUAGGUUUGGGUUGUUGGGUUUCGGCGUGGGUUGGGAAUCGCCUUCGACUUCGGUUCGCCCACCACAGUUGGUUGAGAAGCGGACGGGCAAGCAAUAAUCACAAAUUAAAUGGGGGGUGUGUGUGGGAGGGAGUAACAACGGAUUUAUGUUCACCGGAAGCGAUGGCGACCCUACUCAACUACUUCUUGUUUUGGUAUGUCGUUAAGUUAGUAAGUAUAACUAAUCUUCCAACAAAUCUUGGCUAUAUAUAUAUAUAUAUAUAUAAUCUUCCAACAAAUCUUGGCUAUAUAUAUAUAUAUAUAUAUAUAUAUAUAUAUAUAUAUAUAUAUAUAUAUAUAUAUAUAACUACAAUCAUUAUCUCAAAUUCAUUAUUGACUCAUCCAAGAUAUCUUAUUGAAUUUUAGCCAUAGAAGAUUAUUAUAAAAAUGAUUCUAGCCAUAAAGAAAUUUUGUCAUAAUUUUUUGACGGUCCACUGAUGUGUACCAACUUGACUAAUGAAGAAAUUUUAUCAAAAAAAUUUUGGGCAUAAUUUUUUAGAUACUUUAUCAGAAAAAAUCUCUAGUAUCAUGUUGUCUUUAUAAUGGGCUUUUAUUGAUGGAUACCUUUUUUUAUUUCAAUAAUACCUUUGAUUAGGUUAUUUCAAAUCAUAGAUCAAUGAGUCAUUUAAUCCUGAAUGUUAUGAUUUAAGUCAAGUUGAUUCAAAUCAGAUCUGAUCUGAUCGCUAUCAAAUCUAUAAAUGAAUGUAAUACGUGUGUAACCAAGACAUUUUUAUCAAUCCAAUCUAAACUUCUAUAGAAUUACUAACACAUGAUUUUAAUAUAUUUAAUAUCAAAUUUUUCUUAUUUUUUAUAAUUUUAUGUUGAAUAAAUUUUUAAAUAUAAUAUUUUUAGGUUGAAUCGAUGAUUAAAUGUAACUCAUUGAAUUUUCACUGUAUCUAUCCAAACUUUUUUAAAAUUACUAAUGUGAUAUAAUAAUAUGCUUAGUAUUUUUUUAUUUUUCUAUGGAUUUAGGAUGAUUAACUUUUAAAAUAAUUUUUUUUAUUAAAUCUACGAUCAAGUGUAACUCUUUAAAUUUUCAUCAAACCUGUAUAGACUCUUUGGAACUACUAAGGUAAAAUAAUAAUAUAUUUUAGUAUCAUUUUAAAAUAUAAAUUUAAGAUAAUUAAUAUUUAAAAUAAUAUAUUUUAUUUGUUAUAUAUACGAUCUAAGUGUAAUUUGAGUAUACCGACCUUUUUAGGUAAACUACGAUGAGACGAAGGAAGAAGAGAGGAGAUGAGGGAUAGAGCAAUAUAACGAGGAGGUAGAGGAGGAGAAAGCCAAGUGGGAGGCGAUAAAGUGGGAGGAGUAGCAAAGGUGGAGUGAGAGGAGGAAGUCAAAGUGAAGGUGAAGAAGUUGAAAGUAAUUAUAAAAAAAACAAAAUAUACUAUAAGAUACAAUUAAAUCAAAUUAAAUAGUUAAGAUUUAAUUUAAAUCAAUAUGAUCCGAUUCAUCUAAAAAUAUUUGAUUCAAUUAAAAAAAUUAAUUCAAACCUAAUCAAAUAUUAUAAUUAUCUUUUUAUGAUUUUAAAGAUAUUUUGAUCGAAGCUCUAAAAAAAUCAAAGUAAAAAAAUUAAAUACUUGAACAUUAUAUGAUAAAAAUUUAUUAUUAAUUUUUUUGAUAAAUUAUCUUAAUCUUUUUUAUUGGAGACGAGACAUGCAUUUUUUCAACUCAAACUAUAGUUACACAAUGACAUGAUUUGAUUUAAAAGAACUAAAUGAUCAUAAUGACACGUGAUAAACUGAUUGGAUUUAAAAGGGUUAGGACACAUGGCAUGACAUGGUCAUAAUUGCAUAAACCGAUUCGAUAUCAUUGAAGUGAGACAUGUCAUGUUUUUUAUUUGAGAGAAUCCUUUAUGCUGAGACAUACAAACGUCAUGACAUGGUUCAUAAUUGCAUAAACCGAGUUGAUUUCAAAGGGAUGCCGAACGACUUGAUUCCCGAAAUGAAUUGCACACACAGCAAUCAACACUAGCCCACCGCAAAACAGCAAACAGUCGCCAUUUAUAAUGGCAUGAGGUACGUCAAUCCCCAACAUGCCGGAUCCGAUAGGGUCAUGCACAGCUGAUAUGUCCAGGUUCAGACCAAAUGAAAUAGUGAAGUCUGAGCUGGGAGCGCAGUGGCCGCCGCUCCUUCGCCUCAUCCUGCGCGCAUUCCACACCCGCUCCUUGCAACUCGCCCUGUAGCCAUUCCUGCUGCCACCACCACUACAUUAUGCAAGACCUGACAUCGUCAUCCGACCGCCACAGCUGGACUUCACUGAGGCCCCCCGCUGACACGACCCACGUGUCCCAGUCAGAUUCCCCAUCCAAACAACGACACGCGUCCCUCCAAUGCCCAGAGCACGGGGUAUAACGGUAAAACAAAGAGAAGUAUCCACUACAAAGCAAUGGUACAGCCCGGUCACAUGUCUACCACCAGAGUCAAAUAACAAAGCAAAAAAUUACAAACCAUAGCAAUCAUUAUAAUAAUAGUACAACAUCAUGCGGGAAAAAAAAGAGAUCGUCCGAUCAACAAUCGACGGCUGAGAGCGAGCCCAGCGGAAAUGACGCCACCUAGAGCGCGAAGGUGGCGACCACGGCGCACACCACGGCGAUCCAGCCGACGGUCGUGGAGGCGGCGACAUUGCCCGACGGUGUCGAGGUGGGGGACGAGGUAGGGGGCGUGGAGAUCGGAGAGGUCGGGGAGGAGGGGGAUGGUGUGGCCGGUGGCGGCGCGGGAGGGGACGUGGCGGGAGCCUCCGAACGGGGGGUGGAAGCAGGAGGGGAAGCCGGGGGUGGGGCUGUGGGCGUCACGGCCGGCGGCGGAGGGACGGGAGCCACGGCCGGAGGGGUGACGGGGGCGACGGCGGGGGGAGUAGUCGGCGCUGGGGACGGAGGCUUUACGGGGGCGGGGCUGGGGCCCUGCGCCAAGGAGGUCACGGCGAGCAGCGCCAACGCGGCAGCGAGCACAGCGAAGCGAAGGGAUGCGGCGGCCAUGUCCACCGCCGGAGAUCCCGCAGAUCCGAGCCGAGAUCGGGCAGCAAAUACUUAGGAGAACUUAGCUAGGGUUUGCAGUGUGAAGAGGCGAAGAGGGGUCGCGAAGGGUUAUAUAGAGGGAGAGAGCGAGAGUGCGAGGUGCGGGAGGUAGGCCUAUCAAACCCCGAGAACACGACGCCAGCCGUUGGAUAUAAUUAGGUACGGCUCAGAUCCUUCGAUUCCUUUCAUCUGCUACAUCUAUUGUUAUUCGGUUGGUAACCGUCCGUUGAAGAAGGGACGGUGAUCGAUUCCAUCAACGAGUUCGCCGUGUGCGGGAAUAAUAAAGCUCGGCGGCCAUCGAAGCACUAGACGUCAGAUGGUGAUCAGAGGGCAGAAACUUCACUGGACUACCAACGUGGGCGCAAUCAUUGCAGGUGCGGGGCAAAGCGGAAUAGCCGAGCAUAAUGUUGCGAUUUUAAUUUAUUGGGACAACUGGGCAUGACAGGUGGCGUUUGAUAUUUCUUUGCUGGUGGAUGAAAUUAUUGAAUUCAUUUUUUAUUAUAUCAUAUUUGUUUAUUAUUUAUUUUGAAGGGAACAAAUAUUAUUUUUUACGUUGUAACCAGCUGUCUUGAACCGUCACUCGUUCAUCACGCAUCAGACGGCCAGGAAGGGGUUUAUCAUAGGGGGAAAGUACGCGAUCGAUGGGGUCUUUGGUGACGCGGUGAGCAUCAAUCGUGUAGGCUCUGGAAGGAGUGGGUGCCGUCUCCACCCAGGAGCGAAGCCUCCGAGCAAAUGCAUUGGGGAGGAGGGCGAGGAGGCACGCGCUGUUUCCAGGUAAAGUUUCGCCAUAAAGGUAGUGGCAUCAUGGAAGCCUCGUCGAAUGGUGAAGGAAUGAUGGCCAUGUCUUGUACAUGUUGACUUGCAAGCCCCCAAAUCCAGCUCUUUGUCACGGGCUGCUGGCGAUUCCAGUUGCUUACAUCGGCAGGGCCGUAUCAGGUACGACAUUCCGAUUCCAGAUUGACGCGUUGGGUGGCACUGCAAUUACGGUCUUGAUCGUCGAAGUCCGUGAUGUCGUCGGUUGAUACAGUCGAGUGUUCGUCAAAUUGUCUGGGUGGGAAUUGCGAUGCGAUCGUAAAUUGAAUAGAGAAAGUCCAUGUCGUCGUUGGUUGACUGUAAUGUGUUUGUCAAAUUGCCUUGGGGGGGAGGAGAUUUUUAACUUGCAGUCUCUAACUUGCUGACGAACUUCAGGAAAUCCUUGAUCGACCUCGUCUCCAGUAGUUUUCAUGGACAAGUAGUAGUCGUUCUGUUUACCAUACAUGAGAGUAUUUUCCAUUUAGGCUACUAGUUGUUGCCUUGACAGUCGUCGAAGAUGGUUCGGAUCACAUCAUGUGAUUGCGACCGACCACGAGUUGGCAUUACGUAUUCUUUUUUAAUCCUGUCUUGUUUAAUCACGAUGAAUCUCUUAGAAGAUGGUUAGAGCGUGGUGGUGACACUUGAAGUUUUCUCUUUUCUGGUAUUUUAGGCCUAAAAUAUGACCAACAGGAUUUAUCUGGUUUUAUUGAAGUCUCGAGUGAAAUGGUCAAGUCUCGGUUGGAUAAUACAAGGAAACUAUACACCAAGUUAGAUGGAUGGAAUUAGUGUUUCUAAUUCAAUGAGGCCUCAUGAUGAAGCAGUAUAGUGGUGUAUAAAUAUAGGGCCCUGAUUGCUCUUUCUACUCAUGAAAAUCAAUAGACUACUCCUCCUUGAUCUCCCUUUGGUAAGGAGAAGAGAAUGAUGAGGUAGAAGUGCAGUGUACCACACAAUCUCACAUAGAUUGAGAAUUGUUCUGCUGUAGAUCAGAGAAAUGGCAAAUACUCAGUGACUGCGACUGCUGACCGAUACCCGUUUAUUGUUUUCCACAAUAAGCUUUGCAUGAAUACUAGCACAGGGUUCUUGGAAUUAAAGUCCAGUAAAAUUAAGCUUUUGGUUAAUGAAAAUCUGUGAUGAUGCUAAUCAGGAUAAGAACACGAUUGGUUUGUUCUAUAAAAUCUGCUGUUACAUUAUGUACUUUGCAAAAAGGAAAAAGAAUCCUCAUCUUGACCAUUUUAAGUUGCUUUGAACCAAUAUUUGUUCUUGUUGAUUUUUCAUGUAAUGUGUACUAGUAUGCUCUAGUAAACUUAUACAGGAGGCAUGCAAAGAUCAAAAGAACACUGAUACUAAUAGAUUAUAUGUUCAUGAGCACAAAGAUCAUUGUAUUAAGCAGGUAUUAGAAAGUUAAGCUGCAUUGAUUUGACUUAUAAAUACAUAUGGAUUCGACUAGUUUAGGAAGGUUCUGCAACACAGCUUGUUCUAACACGAUCUAGUCUAUAUCUAUCUGUUUAGUUAUGUAUUUUAUGUUAAUCCUUCCUUUUUUUUUCAAUAACACAUGUUAGUUUAGAUUAAUUUCAUGCCCAAUCCCACCCUAAUUGUCCAAUUUUCGGUGCAACGCCAGCACACGCAUACCUUCCGCUUAGACAUGUGCAUCUUAUGCAUUUUGAUAUUUUAAAUAAAAUAUCCCACUCUAAUUUUUUUUUAUCUUGAAAGUAUGAUAUCAUGUUUGAUGCCACCAUGUUCAAUGCUAAUUUUCCCCCUUAACCCACUUUUGGUGAUUUUCAAAUUAUGAACCAUGGUUACAAUUUUCAUCUUCUGUUUAUGCCACUGUAUUUUCAUAGUAAUGAAUCCAAUGUGCAUGCAACCAAUUAUAUAGAUGUUAGAAAUAUCAUUGUGGCAACAAAGGUAUUCUCGUGGGGGUUAUUUCUGUUCUAUUUAGCUUAGCCAAUGAUAUUGGAACUUCAACUGCAGAUGAGCUGUAAGAUCUUGAGGAUACUCAACUGGUGGAACUGGGUGUCAAGAACUUUUACUGAGAAGUGGAAAUAAUACUCAAGGUUACUGAAUAUUCUGGAGGAAGAUUUUCAAAGGAUAUGAAUGGCUUAGUUAGGUAAAGGCAGUUUCUUAUUUGUCAUAUCUUUGUAUAAUCUGCUCACCACUAUGGAUUUGGAAAGUCCAUAUGCCUGAAAGAUGAACAUUUUUUUGCUUGGCAACUCAUCCGGACAAAGCUCCCAACUGAUCAGAACCUGAACUGGAAUAGUUUUAAUAAUUGUCGUUUCCAUGAUGAUAUUUGAAUGAUGGAAACCGCUUAUCACUUGUUUCUUGGUUGCAUUGUAGCUGAGUAUUCGAACAGGAUGAAAUCAUGGUCCUACUUAUUCAAAUCAUCCCAGUAACACCGAAGGUCUUUGAUCGGACUGGAUGGAAAAAUAGAUCAAUGAGGGCUUCUUAAUGGGCUUGGGAUUAUCACAGAUUACCUACCUACUGGUGCAUUUGGUUGGAGCAUAACAAAAGAAACAAACUCUUUUGUGGAAACUACAAAGACUGGAGUAUUGUUCCUUAAGAAAGUAGCGCAUAGGGUUUUGCUGAUUCUAAGAGGAAUGGAUUGUUCUGUCAGGUCAGGAAUAAUCUUGUUUCAGCAACACCCCUUGAUUCUUUCAUUCUACUGGUUGUACUCUCUUCAUCGUGAGACUUAAAUAUUCCCUGUUGUUAUUAUUAUUUUGUAUAUUUUCUUAAUGAACAAUGUCAUGAUCAUCUGAUUUUUUGAUCCAAGAAAAAAGUUAGAAUCAAGAACAUGCCCUUUUGCUUUCCAAGGGCUUAUUUCACCCUGUUUCCUUUGCUGGAUGACAAUACAACUCACAAGGCCUCAAAAUACAAUGGUAGGCCUCAAAAUACACCUCAAAAUAUCCUUUAGCAAUAUGUUUUCUUUCCUUCCUUUCUCUUUAUGCUUUUAUAAGUUCUGAAAUGUUCAACAGAAACGGAAAGAACUAAGGAUGUUUCUCUGUUUUCAGGCAAUCAUUCCAUUGCAUUUGAAUCAGCUGAAACCGAAGCAUCCAUUAAGGUGGCUUUUUGCUUGCAAGAAACUCAGAAAUGGAUAUAUUACUCAGUCCAACUGUUAAGGCAACACAGCUACUUCUCCUGCUCAGGUGCUGCCAAACCUGUCCUAGUGCUUGUGCAUUCCUAUGAUGUACUGACAUCUGAGCUAUCUCCUACUUUACUAGGUCUCUGCAGCCAGAAGUGACUGAUUUAUUUGGUGGUAGUCACGCGGAAUCUCAAUCAAUCAUCACCUUCUUAUUGGCCAAGCUUUUCCCAGGUAUUCAGUACACAAGCUUUUCCCUUUCUUUCUUUCUUGAUGCACUACAUUUAAACAACGAGACAUAUAAACAACUCUCCGUAGGUCAGCAGACAUACCUCUCUUUCCACCUGCCAAUCCAAUCUUUUUCUUUUCCUGCAUGUACGAUUUUUUAGGAGCCUGUAAGAUUGCACCCACUACCACCACCAUUUCGUUCUUAGGCCCCUAAAAAAAGGGGUGGAUUGGUGCACUGCAUGUAGUACAAAGUAGGGCAAGGGUAGUGGCUGUUGGGAAUCUGUGACAGUCCUUAUUCUGCUUUUUUUUCUCAACUUUUCCAAACCUGGGAUUCCUUUCCCAAGUUGAAGUCAGUGCAAGUUCGUUCAUCUUUAAAUUUAUUGAUAUACAGAUCAUGAGACUAAGCUUACAUAGUUUAGGUGGUUGCUUGCUGUAGUUUUUUGGCCAUAAAAUAGCUGAGCUGCGCAUGGUUGCAACUCUGUUGUUUAGGCUUUUCUCAAGCUAAAUCUCAGAACUAAAAGCUGAAAGAUUUUAAGCAGAGUCGUCAUGUAGCUUAUAGAAUUCUUUUCCAUUUGGUUGAUCCUAUGUCUACGAUCAUCCUUUCUGCCAAGGCCAUUUGACACCUACAGGAUUAGACUACAGGGGAUUGUGUUCCCUGUAGAGAGAUAAAAAUUUUGCUUUUCGUGCGAUCAUAUGGGAUUGGUUCAAAGAACAAGUUGCUAAGCCGCAAAUGUAGACGUAGUUUCAUCUCCUGCAUGUCACGAUCUCAUCAUGGGGGAUAUGGUCUCGAGAAUAUUAUCUACCACGAGAAUACUUGAGAUGUUGAAAGACCUCACACUGAGCCGAUCAUCAUUGGCCGAAGUGAGAAAAGACUGAGCACAAGAGACAAGAAAAAUAGGUCACAUAGCUCUAAUCAGUAACACUAUUUGAUGUCCGACUCUAUGCUCUCUCCAAAGAAAAAGUAUGAAACCUACAAAAGCUAGACAUGGCUGGUUCUGCCCUCUGAGCUGGUGGGAUUGGUUGUGGGUGACGUGAUGAUAUGAGUGGAUUGGAUGAACAAAAAUGAGCUCUUUUUAGUGUUGUAGGUUGUGUCAGGAGUCAUAUUCUCUUGGAGUUUUGGGUUUAGGAGGUGGUUGGGCUCUUGUGACGUGAAGAAGGUGGCUAGGUUGAUCAAACAUUGCUGUCAUCAUGUUUUCUUCGAGGAGGCCUUCAUACUUCCUUUGACAAUCUUUGUGAUGCAAAGCCUUAAUGGACGAUGAUCUUGUUGCAUUGGUGCUUAAACUAUCACCUCUGUGCUACACAUGCAAGCUAAUCUUAAUGUAGGAUGUCGACAUACACAAUCUUAUGAUAUUAUACUGUAAACAAACCCUCAUUCCACCUGGAAAAGAAAGAAGAGUAAAGAAGCUUGCCAUGUAUAUUUUACCUCCAUCAUUUAUCUUUAUCUCCAAAAGAACAUGAAGCUUUUUGUUUGUCUGUUUGGUUGCUAUUGGAGUACACAGAUUACUAGGCUUGACCAGGGAAUUAUGAGACCUCUUAACUCACUUCUUGGAUUGAUAAGAUAUUUUACCUUCAGUAGGACUGGGACAGGUUAUCUGUUAGCUUCAAUCCUCUGUGUCUGAGAGAGAGAGAGAGAGAGAGAGAGAGAGAGAGAGAGAGAGAGAGAGAGAGAAAAUCUGCCAUUAUUUUCAAUUUUGACUCGUGAAUAGAGAAAGACGCCAUAGGAAGGACACAAAAUCUAUUGAAAUGGAUUUCAGAUGCAGAAUUACUUGAGCUGCAGGAUGAGCGUCGAGUGAAUUUAUUUCUUUGAUGACUUUUGAAGAGACAUGGCGACAUGGGUUUGAUUCUUCAUAUUUGCUGAAUUAGGCACCGAUGUCUCCUCCACAGGAAAAUGACAUGUUUGGCUUUUGGACCUAUCACCCCAAAGCCACAUUGAUUUCUUCCUCCAAGUGUCAUGUUCUGACUUUAAUUCAGAUUAAACAUCAUCAAAAUCAAUCUGAUGAGUGUGUUCUUCUUCCACGUUGGUGCCAUCAUUUUUGCUGUUCUCCUUCCCCUUAACCAGGGUGUGCCAAACCCAACCCUACAUAACUCUACACUGUCUCUCAUUUAAUGACUGCUUGACCUCCUGCUCUCUCUUUCUCUCUCUUCCAAUUGCUGUUCAUGCUUGGAGAGAUCCAGGUAGAAAGCUUUGCAUCUGGUGAUGGACGCAGGAGAGAAGGAGGUCAAACGUGAGGACAAUAAUGAGGUAAAGAUGGAGAUCAAACAGCUCCUUUUGUCUUCCAUCUUAUUUUCAAUUGUGUCAACAUGACUCCACUUGUUGUCUCCCUUUCAGCUCAUGAACAAGGGGAGCAGGCAUCAGAAGCCAAUGAAGAGGAUCAGCAGCUCAGACUCCUUCAAAGGUAUUAAGAAGUAGAUUUAGGCUUUCACCUCUGAUUUGCUGUUGGUGAUUCAUAGUGAUUUGGGUUGUUCCAGUGGAAGGAAAUGACAAGUCCGAGGAGAGAGUACGCCACUCGCUCCUCCUCGAGGGAACGGAGGAGAUGGAGUGGGACGAUGAGCUGUGCUCCAAUGGCUCCUCGUCUCUCGGGCAGAAGAAGCGGCGGCUGAGUGUCGACCAGGUGAAGGCUCUGGAGAAGGACUUCGAGGUGAUGAACAAGCUGGACCCGGAGAGGAAGGUGAGGCUGGCUCACGAGCUGGGCCUCCGGCCCCGGCAAAUCGCCGUCUGGUUCCAGAACCGCCGCGCCCGGUGGAAGACCAAGCAGCUGGAGCGCGACUACGGCGCGCUCAAGGCCCGUCACGACGCGCUCAAGCUCGACGUCGACGCGCUCCGCGGCGACAAGGAGGCGCUCAUGGACGAGGUAAGCCGCCACCGCAGAGCACCCUCCCGGUUUCGCUUUGGGACACUCCAUGAUCGUUGGCUCUGAUCCAGAUGAGAGCGCUGAAGGCCAAGCUAGCAGAUCCCGCCACACCAAAGGUCGAGGAGGACGGCCGAGCUCUUGGCUUCCGGGAUGGCACCUCCGACACGGAUUCAAGUGCGGCGCUCAACGAGGAAGCCAGUCCCUACUCUGGAGCGUUGCUGGACCAGCACCACUCUGUUCUGGAAACCAAGUCCCAUUGCUCCUCCAUCUUCAUGGAAGAAGAUGGUUUCUUAAGGGGAGAGGAGCUGUGUGGUGCUCUGUUCUCGGAGGAGCAGGCACCCACCCUCCCUUGGUGCUGCACCGAGGGAUGGGAAUGAGCUAACAGAAGAAGAGGAGGCCACUGUAAAUGGAGUCCUUGGUGGGAACUGUGCGUAAAGGGUAGUGUCAGAAGAUAGUGAAAAGAAGAGACUCAAAGUCUCUUUUCUGUAAGCCAAUGUUUAAUAUAUGUCGAAUAAAGAAGGCCAGGCAAGUAGAGAACUCUUGACAAACUUGGUAGAGAGCUGAGCAUGGUAACCUUCUGUGUCUUGUGAUUGCUAUUGAUAUCUCAGGUGAGAAACUACUAUUGAGCUUUAUAUAUUUGCAUUUGACAGAUGCGCGUAAGAAGAACUAUGUGAGUUGAGCACACGAGAAGAAACUAUGACUUGUUAAGAAGAUCUUAUUAGCACUUGCUCAUGUGGCAACGGGUGUUGGAAAGGCAAGAUUGAGUGCUGUAAUCCAUCUCUGAUUGAUGUAGUACAUGUAGUCGGUGGCAAUGCAGCCUGACGUGCUGUACUACAUUGCAAUUAGAACAUCUGAAACAUGCUUAAGUGUCGGUACACAUCAAUGGUAGAUAGAAAGCAGAGAGGAAGAGUGGGGUUGCUACGUGCAGAUCUUCCACAUCUUGAUGGUGGAAAGAGAAUGAAAUUGCAGAUCUUCCACGUUUUGUGAUUGAUUAUGGAUGAACAUAAGCGGGGGAUCA
rnacentral:lncRNA from 1 species